GCCGCGGCCCCUGCCAGAGCCCGAGCUCGCGCGGCCGCCGCCAUGGCCGCCCGCCGCUUGCCGCAAGGAGCUGCUCCUCCCCGUGCACCGCCCUAGCCCCAACGUCGGCCCUGUGCCACCACCCCGCGUGCAGGUCUCCUGCGCCCCGCCGGUUGCUCGCCUCGAGCCUGCCAUGGCCCCGGCCUCCUCCUUCCUUUUGAUCGCCCUGAGACGCCUCCAUCUUCCCUGCCGGUGCCCGACCAUGUUCCGAGCUCACCAGCCCCGCCGCCGCCGGCCUCAGCUGCGCCUCCCGCGGUCCCGUGCCGACCUGCCGCCGCUAUUGUUGUUGCUGUCAACGUUUUGUUGCUACCGCUGUGCCUGCCGUGAAGUUGUUGUUGCAGCCGCUCCCGUCCUUUUGCUGUUGCCUGCCUGUAGCUACUUGUUGCGGCCGCCUACUGUCGCAACUGCUGCUGUGCUUGCUGUCGUCGCCGAUGCAUGCUGUAGCCGCUGCUAUGUUGCUGCUUGCUGUGCUUGCCUGCCUGUGCUGUUACUGCUAGCUGUAGCUGCCUGCGCCGAUGCAUGUUGUUGUUAGCUGCUAUUGCCUGCCUGCCGCCAAAGCUAGUUGAUGUUGCUUGCUUGCUGCCAUCGCCGACGAUUGUUGUUGUUGCUUGCCUGCUGCCGCCGAUGUAGUAUGCUAGUGCUAGAUGCCGCUUUGUUCAUGUUGUUAGUUGCUGCCGUCGAUGUUGCUGUUGUGUCGCCUAUCAUCGCCGAAGACUGCGUGCACCAUCCCCGCCACCGUGGCCCGUUGACAAGAUCACGAGUACCACUACUCCCACGACGUCCUCGACGACCCCGAACCAUCUACGGAACCGUGUUCGUCUACCGACGCCAAGAGUACGACUAUCGUCGACGAGACCGAGUACCUCGACCUCCACAACGACCACGACCUCCACGACGUCCGCUUCGACCGAACCCCUGCGAUUCGCACGCGUCGAAGAUAUACCGUGAGAACGUGUCGUGUAACGAACGAAUGUGAUGUAUGAGUUGUAUCGUGUGUUGCACCUUAUGUUGCCCGUUGCACGUUGUCCUCUUAUGUUGUGCCCGACACAUGGGAACCCGGUAUCGGGAUCACCCCAUCUUUAUUUACCGUUCCAGCACACGUUCCCAGUACGUUGGCACGAGAUCUCGACGAGUUGUCGGGAUAGGAACGUUGCUGUGGCAUCGUUUCCGAUUUGCCGCCAUGGUUCCCUCUCUCUCGCCGUGGCGACAUAUGCUUCUUUCCCUUCUUGCCGUGAUGUUGUAACUUGCAUGCAUAACGCAUUCAUGGCAUAUAAUCUUGUGUUGCAUGUUCUUGUGCCGAAGCUCCGUUCUUUGUUCCGCGUGUUAGUCGUCGAGGAUGACUUGUAGGACCAUCGCUUCACCGUUUCCAUGAUAACAACAAUGUAAUAUUGCCGUGAUAAUUAACGGGAGUGAAUUAAAUAAUUAAACGUGGAGUUUCGUCGAUAUGCAACCCGUUGCAUAUCGAGCUUCACUUAAUGUGUAGUGUNNNNNNNNNNCUGCAUGUUCUUGUGCCGAAGCUCCGUUCUUUGUUCCGCAUGUUAGCCGUCGAGGAUGACUUGUAGGACCAUCGCUUCACCCUUGCCAUGAUAACAAUAAUGUAAUAUUGUCGUGAUAAUUAACGAGAGUGAAUUAAAUAAUUAAACGUGGAGUUUUGUCGAUAUGCAACCCGUUGCAUAUCGAGCUUCACUUAAUGUGUAGUGUNNNNNNNNNNNNNNNNNNNNNNNNNNNNNNNNNNNNNNNNNNNNNNNNNNNNNNNNNNNNNNNNNNNNNNNNNNNNNNNNNNNNNNNNNNNNNNNNNNNNNNNNNNNNNNNNNNNNNNNNNNNNNNNNNNNNNNNNNNNNNNNNNNNNNNNNNNNNNNNNNNNNNNNNNNNNNNNNNNNNNNNNNNNNNNNNNNNNNNNNNNNNNNNNNNNNNNNUGUUUCCGGUUUGUUCCGUCUCGAUAGAGUUCCGCAAGCGUGUCGAAAUGUGAGGACCCGUUCGACUACGUUGGUUCGCCGACAUCUCGGAGAUGUUCUUCUUCCAAGCGGAAUCUCAGGCAAGAUGAUCAUUUCCCCAGAUACCAUUACUAUCAUUGUCAUGCUAGUUAUUUCAAUGUUGUCGUUUAUGUCUCGUUACAUACCACAUGUUAAAUAUCAGCCUCUCGACAAUGCCAUGAUAACCUUCANNNNNNNNNNUGGAAUCUCAGGCAAGAUGAUCAUUUCCCUAGAUACCAUUCCUAUCAUUGCCAUGCUAGUUAUUUUGAUGCUGUCGUUUAUGUUUCGUUGCCUACCACAUGUUAAAUAUCAGCCUCUCGACAAUGCCAUGAUAACCUUCAACCUGUUCAACCUAGCAAACCACUGAUUGGCUAUGUUACCGCUUGCUUAACCCUGUUGAUAGCGUUGCUAGUUGCAGGUGCAGAUGCUUCCAUUGAAAACAUGGGUUCCUUGUUAUAUCACCAUAUUAAAUGCUAUUUAAUNNNNNNNNNNAGCAAACCACUGAUUGGUAUGUUACCGCUUGCUUAACCCUAUUGAUAGCGUUGCUAGUUGCAGGUGAAGAUGCUUCCAUGUGAAAACAUGGGUUCCUUGUUAUAUCACCAUAUUAAAUGCUAUUUAAUNNNNNNNNNNCUUUUCUAGCCUGGUGUUUUGUUCCACCUUUGCCCCUUAGUUUCCGGCUACCGGUGUUAUGUUCCAUGAUUGAGCACUCCUAACACGAUCGGGGUUGUUAUGGGGACCCCCUUGAUAAUUCGUUUUAGAUUAAAGCUGGUCUGGCAAGGCCCAACAUUGGUACUACAUUUGCCUAAUCGCCUAAUAAUUUUCAUAGGGACUUCCCGAGCCCCGACGAUAAUUUAAUCAACCCCCGGGCCAGUGCUCCUCAUGAGUGUUGGUCCAAAACAAAGCACUGUGCGGGGCCACCACGAGGAAACUCGAGGUUUGGCACUCGUACGCGUCGCUUAUCCGUCGAGUCCUGAGAACGAGAUACGCGGCUCCUAUCGGGAUCGUCGACACGCCGGGCGGCCUUGCUGGAUUAGUUUUACCUUUGACGAGAUAUCUUGUGCNNNNNNNNNNCACUUCGCUUAUCCGUCGUGUCCUGAGAACGAGGUACGCGACUCCUAUCGGGAUCGUCGACACGUCGGGCGGCCUUGCUGGAUUAGUUUUACAUUUGACGAGAUAUCUUGUGCAUCGGGAUUCCGGUGAUCCUUUGGGUAAUCUCAGAGUUGAGGUUUUCCACUAGGGAAUCCAACGAGACCGCGAGCUUCGUGAUUGAGGAUUUCUAUGCGGCUUGUGGUAAUUUAUGAUGGACUAGUUGGAGCACCCUUGCAGGGUUAAAUCUUUUCGGAAAGCCAUGCCCGCGGUUAUGUGGCAACGUCGAAACUUUGUUUAACACUGCUUCUAGAUAACUAGAAGUUAACUUAAUUAAAACAUGCCAACUGUGUGCGUAACCGUGACUGUCUCUUUCGUGAGUUCUUUCUCCGAUCGAGGACACGGUGGGGUUAUGUCUGACGUAGGUAGGUGUUCAGGANNNNNNNNNNGGAAGGGUUAAAUCUUUUCGGAAAGCCGUGCCCGCGGUUAUGUGGCAACGUCGAAACUUUGUUUAACACUGGUUCUAGAUAACUUGAAGUUAACUUAAUUAAAACAUGCCAACUGUGUGUGUAACCGUGACUGUCUAUUUCAUGAGUUCUUUCUCUGAUCGAGGACACGGUGGGGUUAUGUCUGACGUAGGUAGGUGUUCAGGAUCAUUCUUUUGAUCAUCAGUAGUUCACGUCCGUUAUGCGUAGAUCUUCCCCCUCUUACUUCUUGUACUCGUAAGUUUAGCCACCAAAUAUAUGCUUAGUCGCUGCUGCAACCUCACCACUUAACCAUGCCUCACCCAUUAAGCUUUGCUAGUCUUGAUACCUUUGGAAAUGAGAUUGUUGAGUCCCCUGUGGCUCACAAAUUACUACAACACCAGUUGCAGGUACAGGUAAAGGUUACUUGAUGCGAGCGCGUUGAUUGUUCAUUUGGAGUUGCUUCUUCUUCUUCUUCUUCAACGAUCUAGGAUGGGUUCCAGGCCGGCAGCCUGGGAUAGCGAGGAUGGACGUCGUUUCAUUUUUCUCGUUUGUUUUCGUCCGUAGUCGGACCCUGCUCUUACUCUUGCGACACGACGAGAUGCGCUUCUAUCCCUGACGAGGCCCUCGUGCCAAAUUGAGGAUAGGGUCNNNNNNNNNNAGUGACUCUGAUGUAGCUUGUGGCGAGUGUAAGCCAACUUUGUAUAUAUAUCUCUUCUUUUCAGUACAUGUACUUGUAAUGAUAUCCAUNNNNNNNNNNNNNNNNNNNNNNNNNNNNNNNNNNNNNNNNNNNNNNNNNNNNNNNNNNNNNNNNNNNNNNNNNNNNNNNNNNNNNNNNNNNNNNNNNNNNUAUGUAAUUCUCUUGCUAUUGCUAUGCUCGGUUUGUUGGGAUCCGAUGGAUUAUGAGAUUAUGUUCAAAUUGUUAUGAGUUAUAUAUUUGAUUAUCCUUUUAUAUUAUGUUCCUUAGUGAUUCAUGCAUGUUCUCCAUUGCUAUUUAUUGCUUUGGUCGGGUAGUAGAUUGUAACUCCAAGAGGGAGCGUUAUGCAUGAUUGUGGGUUCAUGCCCCUCGAUGUCUAGCUUGAGUGACAGAAACAUGAGACCAGGGGAUGUGUUGUUGCCACCAGGGAGAAAACAACGGUGCUUGUGACCACGGUUGCAAGGAUUGUUUACCUUACGCAUAGUUCGUUAACGCAGGUGUUCGUUGCUUUGAGUUUACACUUUGGAUGGGGCUCGCAACUUAAUACCGGCGAGAUGUUCUGGAUAGAUAUCUCAAGGUGAAUUAUUAGUAAGUAGAUGCUGAUGAAUAAACGGUCUACUUGUCUUCGCAUACUGCCCAUUACUAUUGAACCUCUAACUAUCAAGUAGUAUAAUUAGCAUUGCGGUGUGUUCAUAAUUCUCUCAAUUGCCCAACUGUGAUUUGUUUACCCCAAGCAUAGUUGUUUAUCGUCUUUUGGGAGAGAGACAUUACUAUUGAAUAUCAUGUGACUCCGGUCCAUAUCACCAUCAUUGUUUACACCUCCAUCAUUUACCGCUUUAAUUUACCUUUUCGUUUUAAUCAUUAUUACUAUUCCCGCUUGUGUUUUGAUCCUUUGCAAACUACAAGGCCGGAGAGAUUGACAACCUCUCCGUACUAGUUGGGAGCAAAGUUAUUUGUUGUGUGUGCAGGUCCACGUCUUUUGCUAGCGCCAGGGUGGAAGACACCUACUUGUUGAUCCUAGGAGUCCUCCUGGUUCGAUAAACCUUACAGUUCCCGUGUAAGGGAAAACUUGCUGAUGACUACAUCUCAACCUUCCACUUGGGGUAACCAACGAGGUGCGAGAAAUAUAUACAUCAUCCUCGUCAUCAAUAUCGGUCUCCCCGAGAUUCAAAAGUUGUUACCUUUUGUGCAAGUUUGCACCAUCGAGUUUAUGACUUCGGUGUCACCGAGUUGGUCACUUUAGGUGUAAAGGUUGGAUUUUGGGUGCUGCCUAUAUAUACCCCUCUACCUACCUCUCAUUCUUAGAGGAAGCACUCAAAACACACACUUCAUUGCAGAACCAUUUUUCUGAGAGAGAACCACCUACUCAUGUUUUGAGAUCAAGAUAUUCCAAUCCAUCCAUUUGAAACUUGAUUUCUAGCCUCCCCAAGUUGCUUUCCACAAAAUCAAUCUCUCCUACCCAUGCCUAUUCUAUGAGAGAGUGAUUUAGUGUUGAGGAGACUAUCUUUGAAGCACAAGAGCAAGGAUUUCAAUGUUCUACCACAUAUAUUACCUUUUGGAGGGAGGUGUCUCCUAGAUUGGUCAGGUGUCGCUUGGGAGCCUCCUACUUCGUGUUGUGGAUUUGAACCAAGAUGUUUGUAAGGGCAAGGAGAUCGCCUACUUCAUGAAGAUCUACCGUGAGUGAAGCUAGUCCUGUGUGGAUGGAAGCCGUGGUGGAAUAGACAAUGCCUCUUCUUUGUGGACCCCUUGUGGGUGGAGCCCUUCGUGGACUCUCGCAGCUGUUACCCUCCGUGGGUUGAAGUUUCCACUAACAUGGACGUACGAUAGCGCCACCUAUUGGAACCAUGCCAAAAAUCAUCGUGUCAACUUCUUCGCAUUUGAUCUUCCUAAACUCUACUCCUUAUUACAUGUGCAAAGUCUUUACUUUUCCACUCGCAUAUUAUUUUACUAGCAUUUGUAGGGUGCACUAGACUUGUUAGAAUCGCUAAAAUCGGCCAACCAUCAAAUUGGGAAAAGGCUAGGAUUUUAAUUUAUGCAAGUAGUCUAUUCANNNNNNNNNNNNNNNNNNNNNNNNNNNNNNNNNNNNNNNNNNNNNNNNNNNNNNNNNNNNNNNNNNNNNNNNNNNNNNNNNNNNNNNNNNNNNNNNNNNNCGGGAGCUUCUCCACCGCCAUGGACGCUUCCCGGACGUGCCGUGAGUAGUCCUCCUUGGACCAUGGGUCCAUGACCAGUAGCUAUGUGAUGUCUUCUCUCCAAUCUCGUGCUUCAAUGGUUAGUCCUUCUGAGCUGCUCUACAUGAUCAAGGCAUCUAUGUAAUUCUCUUGCUAUUGCUAUGCUCGGUUUGUUGGGAUCCGAUGGAUUAUGAGAUUAUGUUCAGAUUGUUAUGAGUUAUAUAUUUUAUAAUCCUUUUAUAUUAUGUUCCUUAGUGAUUCAUGCAUGUUCUCCGUUGCUAUUUGUUGCUUAGGCCGAGUAGUAGAUUGUAACUCCAAGAGGGAGCGUUAUGCAUGAUUGUGGGUUCAUGCCCCUCGAUGUCUAGCUUUAGUGACAGAAACAUGAGACUAGGGGAUGAAUGUUGCCACCAGGGAGAAAACAACGGUGCUUGUGACUACGGUUGCAAGGAUUGUUUACCUUACGCAUAGUUCGUUAAUGCAGUUGUCCGUUGCUUUGAGUUUACACUUUGGGUGGGGCUGGCAACUUAAUACCGGCGAGAUGUUUUGGAUAGAUAUCUCACGGUGAAUGAUUAGUAAGUAGAUGGUGAUGAAUAAACAAUCUACUUUUCUUGGUCUACUGUCCAUUACUAUUAAACCUCUAACUAUAAAGUAGCAUAAUUAGCAUUGAGGUGCAUUCAUAAUUCUGUCAAUUGCCCAACUGUGAUUUGUUUACCCAAGCAUAAUUGUUUAUCGUCUUUUGGGAGAGAGACAUCACUAGUGAACAUCAUGUGACUCCGGUCCAUAUCACCAUCAUUGUUUACACCUCCCUCAUUUACCACUUUCAUUUACCUUUCCGUUGCAAUCACUAUUACUAUUCCCGCUUGUGUUUUGAUCAUAUGCAAACUACAAGGGCGGAGAGAUUGGCAACCUCUCUGUACUCGUUGGGAGCAAAGUUAUUUGUUGUGUGUGCAGGUCCACGUCUUCUGCUAGCGCCAGGGUGGAAGACACCUACUUGUUGAUCCUGGGAGUCCUCCUGGAUCGAUAAACCUUACAGUUCCCGUGUAAGGGAAAACUUGCUGCUGACUACAUGUCAACCUUCCACUUGGGGUAACCAACGAGGUGCGAGAAGUAUAUACAUCAUGUCGUCAUCAAGCAAAGUUUUCUGGCACCGUUGUCGGGGAGUCCAGUCUUCAAGAUAGGGGAAUUGCAUGCUAUCUUUUACUUUUGUUUUUUAGUCUUGUUACUUUGCUUUUUAGUUUUUCAUUAGAAUUCUAUACCAAAAACCACAAAAAAAUUAGUUUCUUUGAUUUUGGUUGUUGUUGUUGCUAUGGGUUCCACUGAGAACACUCAGUUGUGUGACUUCACUAGUUAGGCUUAUGGAAAACUACACUCUUAGUUCGCUGCUUGGGGAAGGCCGCUUUACCACACCUGCGGUAGAGAAGUCUCCUCCACCUACUGAAUGUAUUCCAUUCAAAAUACCACUUGGGUAAUUGAAAUAAUUAGGAAUGAUUGUUAUGCAGGAGAUGGAACAGUUAAUCCUAGUAUUCAUUUGUUGAAACUUACAGAACUUUGUGAGUUGUUUAAGAUUUCAGGUUUGACAAGAGAUGGAGUCAUGAGGAAAUUAUUUGCCUUGUUAGUGAAAGGAAAAUCAUUGGAAUGGUAUAUGCUACUAGAUGAUUCUCACCUACGGGAUUGGGAAGAGAUUCAGUCUCUGUUUUAGUCCAAGUUUUAUCCUCUUCAUGAAGUCCAUGUGUAUCAUGGUAACACUGCUUUAUGUGAUACUUAUAUUUUUGAGUUUAUUCAUGAUCCCACUGAAAAUUAUUAUGAGAAGGGAACAUAUGCUUAUAGAUAUUUCAAUAAUAUCAAGUUCCCUCUCUUUAUGUUGAAGGUUUUGAAGCUGCACUUGUUUUGCCUUCCCAUGCUUCUUGCUUUGUGCUUCAAUGAAUUAUUCUAUUGCAAUAUUCCUAUGCAUAGGAAGCAUGUUAGACUUAAAUGUGUUUGGUAUUUUCUUCUUGAUGCUCUCUUUUGUUCUACAACUGUUAUUCCUAUGAGAGCAUCAUUAAAAUCUUAAGCCUAUAUUUAUGGCUAUAAAGAAAGAGCACUAGGGAGACAACCCUUGUUAUCUUUACUUUGAGUUUUUACUUUCAGUUUUAGUGGUCUUGAUGCUUGUUACUACUGUAGCAACAUCAUUGUAUCUUUAUUUUUAAGCUUUGUGCCAAGUUAUAGCCUCCGAUUGCAAGAAAGUUCAAAAAUUGUGACAUGUUGUCCAGAAACAGAUUAUGUCUGCUUGACGGAACAAUUUGCCAAAAAUCACCAGAUGAUAUUUUUGAUCUGAAUUGUUUUGACGGCAUGCUCUAUAUAACUUCCUUUCUGGAACCUGUUUUGAGUUUUUUAUGUGAGUUGCAGAAGUGCCCCGAAUAAAUUAUUUACUACCUGUUGUUCUGUUUUUCACAGAUUCUGCCAUGUUUUGCGUUUUCAUCAUUUUGCAAAUUCUAAGCUUACUUUUUAGUUGCGAAAACCUUUUGGCAAUCAUGAGAAACAGUAGAUUUUCAUGAAAAUCUUCAUUUCCAGCAGGUAAUGAAUUAUUUUAUUAAGGGUACUAACCACUCUAAUCAGCUUAUGAUGACUUUUGUAUGAAGGGACUUUUCAAGUAUGCGAUGUGAGAUGAUGAAAGCAGAUACAUGAGUGUCAAGCGCUCAAGCUUGGGGAUGCCCCCAUGCACCCCAAGAAAUAUUCAGGGAGACUCAAGCGUCUAAGCUUGGCCAUGCCCCCGUGCAUCCCCCUCUCUAUCAACAAUCAUCAGGUCGUCCAUCUCCAUGCUAUAUUUUUAUCACUUCAUAUGUUAUGUGCUAUGCUUGGAGCGUCCCGCUAUUUACUUUUUAGUUUGUUUUAGUUUUGCUUGUUGAUCAUAACAAGUCGGAACCUAGCCUACCUUGUUUGGAAGAUAAACACGCUCCAUUCCACUCUAGAACACAACAUAGGUUUUCACGCUUAUCCUUUUUGCGUGUUCUUCAUCUUUCCAUAGCUACUGUCAUGCUUAGCUCUUAGUUUUCAUGCUUAUAUUUUUAAGAGAUUUUAUUUAAGUUGCUUUUGGAACUCUCUUGAGUUAUCAUGCUUAUCUUGUUUAGAGAGAGUUGGCUCGUUGCACUGAGUUGUGUGUCUUGCAUGAGUAUGUAAUUAAGAUUCCUAUUUAAGUAUAGUAGUAACUUGCAAUAGUUUUGAGGUAUUGAUUUGAGUAAAUUUUGUACUAUUGGUGCCAAGAGCUUGAGCCUAUUAGUGAUAGGUGUCGUAUUUUGGGAAAUCCGUGUGUUUUUCCAAAACUAAAAAUUAGUUGAGAACUCUAGCUACUAAAUUGAUCGCUAACCUCUGGAGGGGUUGGAAUAUAUAGAGUACCCUCACGUUACCAUGAGUCGAGGAUGCGCAAGGAUAACCAAACCUCCGAACACUCCUCCUCAGGGUACUUGUCUCAUUGUGAAUUUCCUAAUUAGAUAGAGAGUUACCGAUAGUAAGAGUAUGAGUUCUUCGGACUAAUGUGAGUAUUCGAUUGUUGGCACUUCCACCAUCCAUAUUUUGCUAGCCUCUUCGGUACCACACAUUGCCCUUUCUCACAUUGAGAGUUGGUGCAAACUCUGCCCGUGCAUCCAAACCCAUGACAUGAUACGCUCUGUCAUACAUAAACCUCAUUAUAUCUUUCCUCAAAACAGCCACCAUACCUACCUAUUAAGGCAUUUCCAUAGCCUUUCCGAGAUACAUUGCCAUGCAACAUCCACCAUCUCAUGACUUGAUCUUCAUGUCAUCCAUGCUUUUUCUUGAUCGUAGAGCCGCAUGAUAGUUGGGCCUUGCCCCAAUUAUUGCUACAUGACGCGCUAGUAUCAUUGCAUAUCCUACUACACUGGCAGAGGCAUACAUUUGCAUACAUCAUAAUAGUUUCCACUUGUCUUUAUGUUGAGUACUUCUUAUAAAGUGUGAUGAUCUUCUUUUUAUUCAUGUAAACCAUAGAGUGUUGCCCUUAAGUGAGGAAAAGAUCACAAAGAGGACAAACAAAAGAUCCCAAAGAGGAAAAAUGAGAGAUAAAAAGAAAGAGCCAAAGAGGCCACACACACAAAAAAUAGAAAAAUAGAGAGAAGGGGGCAACACUACUUUGCUUUUUAAAAGAUACACACUCGUACUCCAUUGCUAUAUUUGUACUACAUAGAGAUUAUCAUUCAUGCAUAACUAUGUGGGGACCCUUACACUAUAGAACUUGGUUUGCAUAUUCCGAUGAUGAACCUCCUCAAAUGAGCUCUAGGUCUUCAUGAGCAAACUAGUUGGAUGCACCCCCACUAGUUCCAUUGAAGAGCUUACCUUAGCUCAUAUGUGCAUCCGUUACAUGGCAAUCCCUACUCCUCACAUCAUAUCUAUCAUUUGGCUUUCUCUCGCCUACGGUUGCCCUCAUUGAUGUGAGCCUUUCACAUCCUUUUUGUCUUCCUUCCCCAUCAUUAUUCUAUUUGCCAUCAUAAGUGCCAACAUAUCUUGCUUACGCUCAUCCAUUGCAUGAGUGCUCAAAGUCGAAGGGAGAGGAUCAUUUUGACUUGUGCCUGACUAGUGGUAUGGGGAUGAGUCAAAACAAGAUUCCGAAGGAGACCAAGUGUGAAAUUUUAGUAGAUUGAGUUCUCAAUUAAAAAAUAUAUUUUAUGAUCUCAACCCAUCUCCCACUUCUAGCACGUAAACACCAUUUGGAGACAUUCGAGUCACGGACAGCGAGAGCUCUUGCACCUUUAUGUUCUUACUUUGUUAAUCUCAAUAUUUCUGCUUGUUCCAUGAUCCUUUGGUUGACAUUGUUAUAUGUUUUGCUACAUUUCUAUAUCAGUGCCAGUUUCUGUGUGCUGAUGUCUAUUUUGGACUAACCUUCUAAUUGAGUGCACCCAGUGCCAGUUUCUGUUUGCUGAUGUCUAUUUUGCACGGGCUUUUACCGAAUUUUCCAAAACCCGAAAAUUCCAGGAAAAAUAUAUAAAAAAUCAGCGUAACGGAAGCUUCUAGAUCACCGAAGAUGGGCCAGGGGUCGUCCAGGCGACCUCCUGGCACGGCCUACCCCCUGGUCGCGCCAGCAGGCUGCCUGGGUGGGCCCCGCCUCCUCCGGUGUCCCCCUUUGGCUUAUAUUUAGUCCUUCGAGAGGAAACCAUUCCACAACUUCACGAAUCGUGAAUUUCUCCAUUGUUCCGCUGCCUCAGCGCUUCUGAGAUCGGUAGCGUUAGGAGACCUCUUCCCGGCACCCCGUCAGAGGGAGGAUUGACCUCCGGGAACUUCUCCACCUCCAUGGACGCUUCUCGGACACCGCCGUGAGUAGUCCUCCUUGGACCAUGGGUCCAUGGCCAGUAGCUAUGUGAUGUCUUCUCUUCAAUAUUGUGCUUCAAUGGUUAGUCCUUAUGAGCUUCCCUACAUGAUCAAGGCAUCNACCAACGAGGUGCGAGAAAUAUAUACAUCAUCCUCGUCAUCAAUAUCGGUCUCCCCGAGAUUCAAAAGUUGUUACCUUUUGUGCAAGUUUGCACCAUCGAGUUUAUGACUUCGGUGUCACCGAGUUGGUCACUUUAGGUGUAAAGGUUGGAUUUUGGGUGCUGCCUAUAUAUACCCCUCUACCUACCUCUCAUUCUUAGAGGAAGCACUCAAAACACACACUUCAUUGCAGAACCAUUUUUCUGAGAGAGAACCACCUACUCAUGUUUUGAGAUCAAGAUAUUCCAAUCCAUCCAUUUGAAACUUGAUUUCUAGCCUCCCCAAGUUGCUUUCCACAAAAUCAAUCUCUCCUACCCAUGCCUAUUCUAUGAGAGAGUGAUUUAGUGUUGAGGAGACUAUCUUUNNNNNNNNNNNNNNNNNNNNNNNNNNNNNNNNNNNNNNNNNNNNNNNNNNNNNNNNNNNNNNNNNNNNNNNNNNNNNNNNNNNNNNNNNNNNNNNNNNNNNNNNNNNNNNNNNNNNNNNNNNNNNNNNNNNNNNNNGAAGCACAAGAGCAAGGAUUUCAAUGUUCUACCACAUAUAUUACCUUUUGGAGGGAGGUGUCUCCUAGAUUGGUCAGGUGUCGCUUGGGAGCCUCCUACUUCGUGUUGUGGAUUUGAACCAAGAUGUUUGUAAGGGCAAGGAGAUCGCCUACUUCAUGAAGAUCUACCGUGAGUGAAGCUAGUCCUGUGUGGAUGGAAGCCGUGGUGGAAUAGACAAUGCCUCUUCUUUGUGGACCCCUUGUGGGUGGAGCCCUUCGUGGACUCUCGCAGCUGUUACCCUCCGUGGGUUGAAGUUUCCACUAACAUGGACGUACGAUAGCGCCACCUAUUGGAACCAUGCCAAAAAUCAUCGUGUCAACUUCUUCGCAUUUGAUCUUCCUAAACUCUACUCCUUNNNNNNNNNNNNNNNNNNNNNNNNNNNNNNNNNNNNNNNNNNNNNNNNNNNNNNNNNNNNNNNNNNNNNNNNNNNNNNNNNNNNNNNNNNNNNNNNNNNNNNNNNNNNNNNNNNNNNNNNNNNNNNNNNNNNNNNNNNNNNNNAUGUGCAAAGUCUUUACUUUUCCACUCGCAUAUUAUUUUACUAGCAUUUGUAGGGUGCACUAGACUUGUUAGAAUCGCUAAAAUCGGCCAACCAUCAAAUUGGGAAAAGGCUAGGAUUUUAAUUUAUGCAAGUAGUCUAUUCACCCCCCCCCCCCCANNNNNNNNNNNNNNNNNNNNNNNNNNNNNNNNNNNNNNNNNNNNNNNNNNNNNNNNNNNNNNNNNNNNNNNNNNNNNNNNNNNNNNNNNNNNNNNNNNNNNNNNNNNNNNNNNNNNNNNNNNNNNNCCCCCCCCCCCCCUCUAGACACCUCUUCUAUCGAUCCCUCGGUUUCAUCAAAGUCAAUUCUUUCAACCUGUGUGUAGCCUUGGGCUACAAGAUGUGCCUUGUUCCUCACUACCUGACCAUCUUCAUCUUUCUUUUUUCGGUAGAUCCACUUGGUACCGAUGACAUUGUGCUUGCAAGGAUCAGGCCGCUUGACAAGUUCCCACACAUUGUUGAUCUUGAAUUAAUGAAGUUCUUCUUGCAUUGCUUGAAUCCACUCAGGUUCCAUGAAGGCUUCAACAACUUUUGAGGGUUCUCUCAUAGACACAGAGGUGAGUGCCCACAAAAGUUCAUCAAUGCGAACGAUUUGAGCGAGUGAGGGGACCCGGUGCAUUUAUGUCAUCGAUGAUUUUGUCAAUUUGUACUUUAUUUGUGAUCCUUGGAUGCAUGGGUUGAAGACUUUGAUCAGGUUGACGAAUUUGAUCUUGAGCAAUUUCCUGAGGUGCACCAGCUUGAAUUUCUUCAUUGUUUGGGAUGACUUCUUCAACAGGUGGUUGUUCUUCAGCGGGAAUAAUAUAUUCAGUACCCUUGAAGCUAAUUUAUUUCUCACAAGGCAUUUCAUCUAGCACAGGAGGUAGGUGCUCUCUUUGCAAGCCGUUAGUUUCAUCGAACCACACACCUAGAGUUUCAACAACUUUAUUGUGGUAGUUGUUGAAGACUUUGAAGGUGUGCAGGUCCUUUCCGUAACCAAGCAUAAAACCCUCAUUUGCUUUUGGUGCAAAUUUGAACUGUGGUGAGGAUCUCUAAUCCAGCAUCUUGAACCGAAAACAUUGAAAUAACUUACAUUGGGUUUCUUGUGAGUGAGGAGUUCAUAUGAGGUCUUCUUGAGGAAUUUGUGAAUAUAUACCCCGUUGAUGAUGUGGCAGGCGGUAUCGAUUGCCUCAUGCAAGAAGCGAUGAGGAGUGUGAUAUUCUUCAAGCAUAAUCUAUGCCAUCUCAACCAGAGUCCCGUUCUUGCGCUCCACGACGCCAUUCUGUUGAGGAGUAUAAGGGGUAGACAGCUCAAGAGUAAUACCAAGUUCAUUGAGAUAGUCAUCAAGAUGAGUGUUCUUGAACUCUGUCCCAUUGUCACUCCUGAUGUGCCUGAUCUUGAUGUCAAAUUUCUUCGAGGCCCUUGAGGAAAAUUGUUUCAAGACUUCCUGCACUUCAUUUUUGUAAGGAAAAUAUGCACCCAAGUAUAACAAGAAUAAUCAUCAACAAUGACAAAGCCAUGUAGUGAUGUUGCAUUGGUUAGAGUAGCAUAAUGAGUAGGUCCAAAGAGCUCCAUGUGAAGCAAUUCAAAAGGACGAGUGGUGGUCAUGAUAGUCUUCGAGGGGUUCUUGGAUCAGGUCAUCUUUCCAUACUCACAAGCCCCGCACAAAUAAUCCUUGAGGAUUUGACACCUUCGAUACCAAUGACAUGCUUUUUCUUCGCCAGUGUGUGCAGAUUCGUCAUGCGUGCAUGACCAAGUCGCCGAUGCCAUAGCCAGCCCUCUGAGGCUUUUGCAAGUAGAUACUUGGCCGGUUGUGGACAUGUAGAGAAAUCAACAAUGUACAAGUCUCCUCUCCUAAAGCCUUCGAAGACUUUGGAUUUAUCAGAUUCCAUGAUGACUAUGCAUCGAUAUUUGCCAAAGAAGGCAACCAUGUCAAGAUCACAAAGCAUUAACACAGAAAUGAGAUUAAACCCAAGGGAUUCAAAAAGCAUGACUUUGUCCAUGUGUCGGUCCUUAGAUAUAGCCACCUUACCGAGGCCCAAUACCUUGCUUUUUCUUCUUUGUCUGCGUAGAUAUGCUCGAGUGGUGAUGGAGUCAGUGGGAUGUUCAUCAACAAACUCUUGUCACCUGUCAUGUGAUUUGUACAUCCACUGUCAAGAACCCACUCUGUGGUUUUGGGGUUGUCAUCCUACAAAUGAAUUAGUAUUCUUUACCAUCUCAUAUGCUUCAGAGUGAAGAAUAUGAUAUAAAAUUCAUCAAACUUGAAUUUCAUCACAUAGAGUAGAAUUAAGACGUAAUGAGGACGUUUGAAAUGAUAAACAUUUCAUCAUGAUUACCUUGCAUCCUAUCAAGCAUUUCCUCAGGUCUCGAGCUAAUUCUUCAGAUGAUCAUAUUCAUCUGGAAACCUCACAUGCAUAAGUGGUUAGUUCAAUUUCUUCACCACCCACAUCUGAAGGGGUGGCAAAGAGUUCUUCAAACUGCGAGCACUACAGGAAUCGGGUUUUUUGCCAUCUACCAUGGUAGACGGAAAAGGACCAAUCCACAGAUGGCAAAGCUCUUUGCCAUCUCCCAGCAAACGGGAAUAGUUUCGGCACUGCUCGCACCGACAAUGCGACUGUUUGCCGUCUGUCGGGACAUAGCAGACGGCAAAGAAUCUUUGCCGUCAGCUAGCACACGGCAAAUGACGUUACCGGCAAUGUAUGGUUGUUAGCCCCGUUAGGUGGUUAAUAGCAUACUUUGCCCUCCGCCAGCUGACGGCAAAGUUUGCCAUCUCCCUGUCCCAAACCCUUUGCCAUAUGCCUGCCCCAAGCCCUUUGCCAUCUGCAUGACCCAAUCCCUUUGCCAUUGGCCAGCCCCAAGCCUUUCCCAUCUGCCAAACGGCGACAAAGUGAACAAAUAGGUUAGACGUGGUGCUCCUAGUUUGCACAGGAUGCUGCCACGUGUCAUCUUUCUAGUCUGUUGACAAAUGGCAAAGGGCUUUGCCAUAUGCUCGUAGAUGGCAAAGAGCCUAUAUUUCACCUUUUUGUCUGUUUUCUUUUAUUUCCUUCCAUUGCACAAUACACACACACACACACACACACACACACACAUAUAUAUAUAUAUAUAUAUAUAUAUAUUUCAUAUAUCUUCACAACAUAUAUUUCCAACAUCAUCGUGAAAUAUUUAACAAGCUAGAGAACACAUAGGCUAGCACAAUACAUAGUUUCGCAUAGUUCAUCCAUAUAUACAUACAUAAGUUUCAUAUUGUUCAUCAAUACAAAUGAAAAAAACUUAACACUAGCACUCCAUCAAUGCCAGCUUUCAUGAAGUGAAUCAAAUCUGCAAAAAUGGGAGUAAUUAAGAAAGUUAGAAGAAUAACAAUAAGAAGAAGAAGACUAAAAGAAUAAGAAAAAGUAAAAGAAGAAGAAGUAGUAGUAGAAGAAGAAGAACACUAGAAGAAGAAGAAAAAGACUAGAAGAAGAAGAAGAAGAAGAAGAAGAAGAAGAAGAAGAAGAAGAAAACAAGAAGAAUAAGGAGUAGAAGAUGGAGAAAAGAAAGAAGAGAAAAAGGAAGAAUAAGAAUAUAUUUCCUUCUUCUUCUCUCUUCUAUCAUUUUUUCCUUUCCCUUCUCAUUCUUCUUCCUUUAUUCUUUCUUCUUCUAUUCUUUCUUUUUCUCCUCUUCCUUGUUGUUCUUCUUCUUAUUCCUAACUAGUAAGCAUGCACGUGCAACGCACGUCUCCACCAAUACACAUAAAAUCCGUUUGAGUAUAAAGUAUAAAUUUGUAUUCUUUAAAUUCUGAAAAAUAGAACAAGGCAUGACAAAGAAAAAAAAAUCGAUGCACAACAAUAUGUGUUUUUAACAUCAACACGUAAAUGAUGUAAAUGAGAAAAGAAAGUAAUAAACAAGAUUGUUUUUCUUCAUAUAAAUUUACCUUAUUUGUUGCUUUCCCUAUGAUAUCUCGUCCGUGAAAUCAUUUGUUUCUUUCCAUCCUUUUAUCUAUUAGCACUAACCGGGGUUAUGUCAGAUUCCAAACCUGUAUCCAUCUCCUUUUCUUUGAUAGCAAGUAGAGUGUUAGAUUGCAAUCAGAGCUGAAAACAAAAUACCUACUAGACCCUGGGAGCAUAAGAUUCUUCCUACUGGAUGAUUAAUUAACUUGCGUGCAUCAAUGAGAAACAAGAACAACCAGUCAAUUAAUCCGCGUGCAUUAGCAAGCAACCGGACAAAAAUAAUAAUGGUACAAGGAAGCACACAAAAUCCCCAUGAGACACUAAAACCACAUGUUAAAUUUAUUAGAUAGCUAAUCAACUUGCAUGCAUGAGUGGACAACAAAAUAGCUAAUGAACCUGAAAAGGAACCUGCCCUACCCGACCCUGGAAGCAGAGGUUAAUUCUACUGGAUAGUUAAUUAAAUUGCAUGCAUGAGUGAGAAACAAAACAGUUAACUAAUGUGACAAUGAAUUUGCAUGUAGUAGUGAGAAAUAGUACAACUAAGCAACAAGACAUACUGGACCUGGAACCAGAACCAUAGGUUAAUUUUAUUGUGUAGCUAACUAACUUGCAUGUAUUGCCGAGCAACAAAGCAGUUAAUUGCAUUGUGAAGAACACAUACUAAAACGACAACAACAAGUACUGCAACAAACCUGGAAUUGCACAUAUUAGAGCAGGAGUUUAUCUACCAUAUAAGAAAGCACAUACAUAAAAGCAGCAAUAAUUCAAUUGGGCACACACGAACAUUGACAAAGCAAAUAAGGAGCAGGCACGCAAGACUCUAAAAUGCAAGAGAAUGUCAUGUUGCAAGACUCUAAAAGGACUAGCUGGAGACUCAUAUAGAUGCAGGCAUGUUAAUUAAUUAGAUAAAAUCUUUAUAGCGUGCAACUUUGUAAACGUCUAUUUAGAACAAGUUUGGUGGUGAUACACAGAAAUUGGGUCUUCUUCUAAUGACAUGAGUGUAUGAAUCGCAAUGAUUAACCUUGUAAUCUUAUGGUCAAAUAAUAAAUACAAAAUUGUAUCAAGAAAUAGUUUUCUAGCUCUCUUAAUUUGAAGCAUUGCAAUCUUGACUUAGCGAUAUUCUAAUGAAUAUAACUAUAAGACCAGAGAUAGAAAACUAACACAUAAUGUUGAGAACAGGGAAUGCCUGAAAUAUAGUAAUGGUACAAAAGUUUGGCUAUAAUGUUUUGUGUGGCAUGCAUGGGUGGCUAAGGGAGCACAACACGCAACAAUGUGCGAGCGUUGCGGAAGAUGGGGAUGCGACGGAGGCGUUUGCGUGCGCAUUUGGUAAUCGAGUGGCUCAGGAGGGGGCCGUUCCUAAGAUAUGAUCAGUCAACUAACAUGUAGUAAUGGCCUAACUCGAAAGCUAGGAUUUGCAUGGGCAGGUCAACGGUGAAUUAUAAUGAACAUAUAGCAAUAUAACCAAUGAGCACUAUCAAGUUUCCAAAAGGAGGGCGUUUACCGACAACUUAAAUUCGAUUUGUAGUCAUACCACAUGAUUAAAAUUAGAAAUAACACGUCAUUCAAUUAUGAUUCAAGCAACACGAACAAUUAUCCGUGAAGUUAAUUUAUAAACUCUAUGCUUAUUAAGAUAUGUGUUUACCAGUAAUAGACUAAAAUGGUACAGAAGUUUUAACUUCAGGAUAGGUGUUUACUCUAUUUUUCACAGAUGGACAUGCAAGUCUCAUUAACUCAGCAAGUAGAUAUGUUAGCUAGCUAUCAAUGUUCUGAGAAAACCGUACAUAGUUGAAUUACUGAAUUAUGUGUGCUUGUGCAGAUAACUAUACAGUUCUAUGAAACAGUUAGUAUGAAUGUAUGAUGGCUUUGUAGCUGCCAUGAUCAAGGAGAUGCUAAUACAUGCAUAUGCAUAAAACUAAGCAUACAUUCUUCUACUCGAUAUUGUUCUCUUGUCAAGCUCUCAAAUUUCUAUACAUUUCUGAUAGAAAAAUGUGAUGUUUCCCUUGCUUAUUGCUCAUACUACAACUGCACUUUAUAUGGAUGUAUUUAUAUGCUUCCAUACACAUGCUAUGAACCACGCAACAUGGCAAGGAAAAUAGGUAGGAUGACCCAAACCAUACACAUGAUAUGAUGCAUCCCUUGCUUAUUGCUCAUACUAUCAGUUUGAUACAAACUGAAACAGAAAACAAAAAUCAAGAAAAGUUAAGAAGUACAUACCAGACUAUGUUGAAUGUUGUCAGGUUUGAUCAUAAGUUGCUUCCUUGGAUUAGCUUGUACAUGUGUGGUGGAGAUGAGAACAGUCAAGUUAUUGAGAAUUGAUAUUGAUUGCUUUUGUGGUUCACCUACAUCAAACAACUGAACAAACCUGAAGAAGUUAUUGAUUGUUUCGGAGAGGAGAAAUUAUCGUACACACCUAAAUUAAACCAGCAAGUUAGCAUUCUAUUUACUUAAAAAGAAACACCAAAAUAGCCUAAUCACAAAAUUUCCUUCUUCUCUAUAAUUCUAAAUUUUAACAUGGCACAAUGAUUUAUUCUAAUUGAAAUCUUAAUUCAGUAUAUGGCAUUUCACUAAGCAAGAGAUGAGCAAUCAAUUUUAGCAACCAAUGAACUGUAACACUAACUAAACAUAAUAGAAGAUGUGCAUACCACACCAUGCUGCACACUGUCAGAUUUGAUCAUAAGCAGGCCUGCCCAAGUUCCUGCACACAAGAAAACUGAGUUAGGCUUUUUUUCAAGUUAAUGAGGAAGAGAAGACUCUGAUAGAUAUCUACAUCAAAUUUGACAGAGGAAUGAGUCAUCCUUUAAAUGCAAAGAUGGACUUGAUCAUCGAUCAUUAUUUCUAUGUCACUCUAGCCAACACAUAUAUUGGUAGCACCAACCCAUGUGUUCUCUCUUUGAGGUUUUAAAAGAGACAAAAUUGUGAGAACUUGAAGAGAGAAAGAAAGAAGAGAGUAGUAAAAUUAGACAUUUAAUCAAAUAGUUGAAGGAGCUUAUGUACCAGUCAUUUGUACCUCAUAAUCUAUAGCUAGCACAUAAAAAUUCUUAAAAUGAAGAAGGGGAAACAUCAAGUCCGGUCUAUGAUAGAACAAUGAGCACUAAUUCAGUAAUUAGAAGGUCAUGUGACACAUAGUGAAGAUCAUGUGAAAUAUAUAGCUUUCAGUGCUACUUUCCCUCCUCAACAUCCUGCUCCGUUCAGUCACGCAUCUGUACCUGAGCUACUACCUAGUCGGCCUUGGGGUCGUUGUUUUUUAUUGCGGCAUUGUUGAAGAUGAUAAAAGCAUGUCCGGAUUCUAAUCAAUGUGCGUUAUAUUCUCAUAUGUAAAAGCACGUUGUGAGAAACAAGCAAAUACUAUUUGAUACGUCUUGCAUGUAGAAACUGCUUUGGUUUAUUGAAGACUCGAUGAAAGGAAUCACACACCAUCCAACAAAAUUGAGCGGAAGAUCGGUGACUCGUCAUGGUUACGUGCAACUGUCCAUUCUUCUGAAAUUGGAUGUUGACCAGGUGUGGUGCACGUCGUCCCACUUGAUAAAUAUAAAAUCCGCCAGCGAUGAAGGUGCCCUUGUAGUUUGGAACAACACAAAUGAUCGAAGAAGAAAAGCUAUACCAUGUAAUGGGGUGGAAUGAGAUAAUGACAAUUUCAGCAAAUGCAACAUUUAUCUAUUUCAUCAAAAAGAAAAGGGUAAACCAUUUUUUUGCAACAAAAGGAUAAACUAAAUUAAUUUACUGUAAGAGGAAAUGCAUGGAACAAGCAAGAUGUACCUUGAUUAAUGGAUUGGAAACCAAAAUAUACAUUACAAUCUCCAGAUCUGAACUUGUGAUGAAUAAAUAUACAACUGGGCUACAGUUCAUAAUUUUGUUCUCAUUCCUAAUUGUUGGGAUUGAUCUAUUGUUCGUAGCACAAAUUGUUUGAAGCUACAAGGACACAUACAUACCCAUUGUUGUAGGUGCAUUCGAGUAAACACUUUGUAGAAUAAAUGAGCUUGGAUCUGGAAGUUCUCGAAGCCAGGAAGGACUAUCGUGUAGGAUGGGGACAGUGGAGAUGAUGUGGACAACUACGGCGACCUAGUCACCUGCAGCCAUGAGGGACGAUCAUGCAGGAUCGCGUGGUGGCGGGGAUGUGUGACGCCCGCAUCGUCUCCUUCCGGCCCGAGUCUCGGGAGCCGCAAGGUGGGGCGACGCGGUGGCAGCGACGCAGGAAAGGGGAGCCAUGGGGAGGGGGUGGCACGGUGGUGGUGGUGCAAGCGACGUGGGAAGGGGGAGAGACAGAGAGGUGGGGAUAUGGGGAAGAGAGAGGGGGAGUGGGGGAGAGAGAGGUGGGGAAAUGGGGUCGGGAGGGGGUAGGCCACCGUGGUCGUUAUGUGUCCAUCCCCUUUGUCGUGUGCUAGCAGACGACAAAGAGGGGGAGGCAGAUGGCAAAGAGGGGGUGGGAGAUGGAAAAGAUGAAGCUGAAGACAACCAUGUCAUCCACAGUGCAGUGGGGCCCGCUUAGUCCCUUUGUUGACUUCCUAGCGCAUCUUUGUCGUCUGCCAGCGGACGGCAAAAACUGCACUGAUGGCAAAGAGUAUCUUUGCCAUCAGUGCGUUCUUUGCCUUGUGUUUUUUGUCACCUGGCGGCAAAGAGUUGCUUUGCCAUCAGCCAACACACACAAAGAUCACGAAGAUGGAAAAUUCUCUAAUUCUAGUAGUGAUGAGGUAAUUGUGGCAUGGAGGCUAAUGCAUUUCGUUUCAUAGGAGGGGGUUAGAGUACUCAAAUGAGUAAGCACUGAAAUUCUUCGAGGACUUAUGAACAUAGUGAUUUGAGGAAUAGUGCACAUAUUCAUGUCCCUUGUAGUUUCCCUGCAUAUCAGAAGCAUUAGUGCGAGUAUGAGCAGAGUUUUGAUCAUAUGAGGAAUUUGAUCCUCGUGAAGACUUUGGUCCACUUGAGGAAUUGAUCUGGGGUUCCUGUUCUUUACUGGUGGUGUCAUGAGGAUAUUCAUCUCAACACUCUCCAAGGUGCUUUUGGGAACCCAAAUUCCUCAAGGGUGGUCCAUUCUUGCACUUAGUUCCAACAUAUCUAGCAAAUACUUCACCAUUCUGAUUUUUGAACAGUUUGUAGUUGGAGAAGUGACUCAUCACAGGAAUAUGAAGUUUCAUAUGCAAAGCCUGAUAAAGUAGAUGGAUCAAUAGGACAUCCAUUUGCAGCAACCCAUGAGGUUUUGGGAUACUACUCAGGUUUACAGUAUGACCCAUCAACAUUCAAUUUCCUCUCAAAAGCAAUAUCCUCUUUCCGAGGGUUUUUGUUCAGAAUCUGCUUUUUUAGCACAUCGCAAAGGGUUUGAUGCCCUCUGAGGUUUUUGUAAAUGCCUAUCAUAUACAAUUUCUUCAACCCUGCAUUUUCAUCAGUGACAUUUGUGGUUUCCUCAAGUAAGGAAUUUGUAACCAAAGAUACAAUUGAAGAAUUUAUAGAAAUAGAAGCAUUUGAAGUUUUGGGUGAAGAAUUAGCAGAUCCGCGUUUGAUGCAUUUCAGGCAUGGAGGAAUGAAUUCUUCCUGAGCGGUACUAGUCUGUUGAGCAAGCAAAGAAUCAUUUCACUUCAAAGAUCAUCAUGAGAUGCCGUUAGUUUCUGAAGAUCUUGCUUUCUUUGAAUAAAUUCGUAAGAAAGCUUCUCAUGAUCAGCCAAGAGGGUGACAUGACGAUCCUGAAGACUAUCAAACCUAGACUGAAGACUUUCAACAUCAUCAGUCAAGAUUUGAAUCCGAUUCAUUUCCUCAUUCAACAGGUCAUCGAUUUUGUCUAGCAGUUUAUGAAGCUUUUCAAGAGCACUUUGUUGCUUAGUAGCAAUAUUAGCAAGCUUGUAGUAACUGGGUUUUUGAUACUCAUCAGGUUCACAGUCACUAGAGUCAGAAGAGGAAGUGUGGUUGGGUACCUUGGAACCUUUUGCCAUGAAGCAAUAGGUGGUAGCAAAUUCAUCAUCAAUGUCGUUGACGUUGUCAUUUUCUUCGAGGUUGAAAAUGGACUUGCUAAGAAUGUGGUAGCAAGGGCUAAGCUUACCACACCAGACUCUGACUCCUCUUCAGAUCCUUCAUCUUCAUCACAUUCUUCAGAUUCUUCCUCAGAGUCCAUUUCCUUGCCAAUAAGAGCCCAGGGCUUUCUGAAACUGUUCUUAUUGUGCGAUGACGACUUUGAAGAUUUCUUGUUUUUCUUCGAGUCAUCAGAACUAUCAUCCUUGUAUUUCUUCUUCUUUGAUUCCUUCACCCAACAAGGACAAUCAGCAAUAUAGUGACUAGAUUUCUUGCAUUUAUGACAGGUUCUCUUGUUGUCGUCUUGAGAUGAAGAUUCUGAUUUUCUCAUAUAUCUUCUUGAAGACUUUAUGAACUGGCCUCGUCUAGAGAAAUUCUAGAAUUUCCUCAUGAGCAUAGCAAUUUCAUGUCCAAGUUCUUCAGGGUUACCAAGACUGCAAUCAGAUUCUUCUUCUUCAGAUGAGGAAAUAGCUUUUGCCUUCAGCGCACAGGUCUUCCAUAGCUAGGUCCAUAGAGGUCUCUUUUCUUAGCUUGUUGGAAUUCGUGAGUAUUGAGUCUAUCAAGAAUAUUAGCAGGAUCAAGUAACUUGUAAUCUCUUCGUUCCUAAAUCAUUAGAACCACUAUACCGAAUGAAGAAUCAAGAUUUAUUUGCAUUUUCUUCACUACCUCAUGGUCAGUGAUGUCUGUGGCUCCAAGAGCUUGUAGCUCAUUGGAGAUAUCAGCGAGGUGAUCGAAGGUUUGCUGAUAGGUCUCAUUAUCAAGUCUCUUGAAGUGGUUAAAGAGAUUGUGAAGAACAUCAACCCGAGAGUCAUGUUGAGUAGACACUCCUUCAUUGUCCUUGGACAACCUUUCCGAGAUCUUCUUUGCACAACCCAAAGCACUCACUCUCUCAUACUGACCUUUGCUCAGAUGGCCACAUAUGAUAUUCUUCGCUUGAGGGUUGAGUUGGUUGAAUCUCUUCACAUCAGCAGCGGUGGUUGUUGUAGUGACAGAGGGAACACCAUUUUCCACAACAUACCAUAGAUCAUUGUCAAUUGCUUCAAGGUGCAUGCGCAUCUUGUUCUUCCAAUAGAGGUAGCCCGUCCCUUCAAAGGUAGGACAGCGGGAAGUGACCUUGAUCAUACCUGCGGUCCACAUAACUAAAACUCCAUGUGGUUAAACCAAAAUCACACAGAACAAGUGAGUACCUUGCUCUGAUACCAAUUUAAAGUGAGAUAUAUUGACUCGAGGCGGGUGAAUAGGUGAUUUUUAUGAAUUCGUCACUGUGGGAAUUCCUUGUGAGGAAAUUCCUUAGUCACAAACUGAGUGCAGCGGAAUAAGUACUCAGGCAAGUGUGCAACACAUCAAUAGCAUAGUCUUCAGAGUAAAAUGGAACACUCGGUUUGCACAUGUAGCGUGUUCAGGAUAUGCAGGUGAAGAGAAAGUGAAGUGAAUAAUUUGGGGUGAGCAAAUUGCAAAAGUAUUCAGUCAAAUUCUUCAAAAAGUAACGAUCAAUUUCAUGAACAUACAAGUGAGGAAAUGAAAGGGUUGAAGAAAUAGAACUAGGUGCUCGAUGAAGACAGCGGUUUGAUGACCCACUUCCAACUGUUAUGACAGUCGUACGUCUGGUUUGGAGCAGCUAGGUAUUUAAAUCAAAGGACACAUAGUCCCAGGACACACAGUCCUUACCGUAUUCUCCUUGAGCUAAGGAGACACAAUCCUCGCUCAACACUCAUGGUAAGUGUUUAGGGCAGACUUCCAAACCCUCACUAACUUGGUCACUCGGCGAUCCACAAUUUAGUGUUGGAUGCUCUAGACCAUGACGCCUAAUUGUCUGGAGGAUGCACAUACCUCAAAGGUAACAAGUGUCGGUUCCACCGAGGAACAAUCUCUUGAGUGAUGCUCAAUCACUUUGGGGUUUUUGGGUUUUUGUUUGGGUGUUUGGGUUUUUUUCCUCACUGAUGAUUUUCUGUCAAAGUCUUUGAGAAAUGGGUUGCUCUCAAAUGCCAAGUGUCAGUUUCUCUCGCAGAGCAGCCAACCAUCUAGUGGUUAUGGGGGGUGGGGGCUAUUUAUAGCCAGGGAGCAAUCCCGACAUGAUUUGACAUAAAUGCCCCAAUGAUAUGACUAUUAUGUGGAUAAGGUUAGGGACAACUGGUGCGCGAUGCACAAUGGUCGAAAUGUUUCAACUGUGAAAGUCCUCAUGUCACUCAUGUUCCUCACUCGUAGGUAAUUUUCACUGGCGAAAACCUAACUCCUCAGUUAGAGCAAAUUCCUCAGAGACCAAAAGAUCUUCAUCUCUGUCACUGAAGAAUUUGACUAAACUGUAAAAGAUUUCCAAAUGCUUCACUCGAAGGAUUUGUGUGUGUAGGCUUUGAGAUGAGCAUGUUGGGUAACGCAGCAUAAAUUCAAAAAAAUUCCUACGCAUAUUCAGAUCUUCCUAUGGAGAGACCAGCAACGAGAGAGGGGUGAGUGCAUCUUCAUACCUUUGAAGAUCGCUAAGCGGAAGCGUUACUAGAAUGCGGUUGAUGGAGUCGUACUCGCGGCGAUUUAGAUCGCGGUGUGAUUCCGAUCUAGUGCCGAACUACGGCACCUCCGCGUUCAACACGAGUGCAGCCCGGUGACGUCUCCUGCACCUUGAUCCAGCAAGGAAGAGGGAGAGGUUGGGGAAGAUCUCUAGCAGCACGACGGUGUGGUGUCGAUGGAGAGACGAGGUCUACCGGCACGGCUUCGCCAAGCACCGGCAGAGAGGAGGGGAAAGAAGAGCAGGGCUGCGCCAAGGGAGAGGAAGAUUGGUGUCUCCAACAGCCCAAAGUGCCCACAAUAUAUAGGAGGAGGGAGGGGCUGCGCCCCCUUGAGGGUUUCCCUCUCCUGGGAGGGGCGGCAGCCCUAGAUGGGGGGAGGUGCGGCGGCCAGGACGGGAGGAGGGGUGGCGCACCCUUCUGGUGGGCCUUAGGCCCGCCUGCGCUAGGGUUCCCCCCCUCCCCCCUCUUCUUGCGCCAUGGGCAGAGUGUGGGGGGAGCACCAGCCCACCUAGGGGAUGGUUCCCUCCCGCACUUGGCCCAUCUAGCCUCCCGGGGUCGUGGCCCCUUCCGGUGGUCCCGGUACGUUACCGGUGACGCCCGAAACACUUCCGGUGUCCGAAACCAUCCGUCCUAUAUAUCAAUCUUUACCUCCGGACCAUUCCGGAGCUCCUCGUGACGUCCGAGAUCUCAUCCGGGACUCCGAAAAACUUUCGAUAACCUCGUAUAACAAUUCCCUAUAACCCUAGCAUCAUCGAACCUUAAGUGUGUAGACCCUACGGGUUCGGGAUACAGGUAGACAUGACCGAGACACCUCUCUGGCCAAUAACCAUCAGCGGGGUCUGGAUACCCAUGGUGGCUCCCACUUGCUCCAUGAUGAUCUCAUCGGAUGAACCACGAUGCCAAGGAUUCAAUCAAUCCCGUAUACAAUUCCCUUUGUCUGUCGGUAUAGAACUUGCCCGAGAUUCGAUCGUCGGUAUACCUAUACCUUGUUCAAUCUCGUUACCGGUAAGUCUCUUUACUCGUUCCGUAGCACGUCAUCGUGUGACUAACUCCUUAGUCACAUUGAGCUCAUGAUGAUGUUCUACCGAGUGGGCCCAGAGAUUCCUCUCCGUCACACGGAGUGACAAAUCCCGAUCUCGAUUCGUACCAACCCAACAGACACUUUCAGAGGUACCCGUAGUGCACCUUUAUAGUCACCCAGUUACGUUGUGACGUUUGAUACACCCAAAGCACUCCUAUGGUAUCCGGCAGUUGUACAAUCACACGGUCGAAGGAAAAGAUACUUGACAUUGGAAAAGCUUUAGCAUACGAACAAUACGAUCUAGUGCUACGCUUAGGAUUGGGUCUUGUCCAUCACAUCAUUCUCCCAAUGAUGUGAUCCAGUUAUCAAUGACAUCUAAUGCCCAUGACCAGGAAACCAUGAUCAUCUAUUGACUAACGAGCUAGCCAACUAGAGGCUUGCUAGGGACACAUUGUGAUCUAUUUAUUCACACAUGUAUUAUUGUAUCCUGUUAAUACAAUUAUAGCAUGAACAAUAGACGAUUAUCAUGAACAAGGAAAUAUGAUAAUAACCAUUUUAUUAUUGCCUCUAGGGCAUAUUUCCAACAGUCUCCCACUUGCACUAGAGUCAAUAAUCUAGUUACAUUGUGAUGUAUCGAACACCCAUAGCAUUAUGUUGUUGAUCAUGUUUUGCUCGUGGAAGAGGUUUAGUCAACGGGUCUGCAACAUUCAGAUCUAUGUGUACUUUACAAAUAUCUAUUACUCCACUCUGGACAUGGUCCUGGAUGGAGUUUUAGCGGCGUUUGAUGUGCUUCGUCUUCCGGUGAAACCUGGGCUCCUUAGCUAUGGCAAUGGGCCCAGUGUUAUCACAAAAGAGUGUCAUCGGACCCGACGCGCUUGGAACCACUCCAAGGUCGGUGAUGAGCUCCUUCAUCCAAAUUCCUUCAUGAGCUGCUUCUGAAGCAGCUAUGUACUCCGCUUCACAUGUAGAUGCUGCCACGAAUUCUUGCUUGCUGCUGCACUAGCUCACUACCCCACCAUUCAAAACAUAUACGUAUCCGGUCUGUGACUUAGAGUCAUCCGGGUCUGUGUCGAAGCUAGCAUCGACGUAACCCUUUACGACGAGCUCUUCGUCACCUCCAUAAAUGAGAAACAUUACCUUAGUCCUCUUCAGGUACUUAAGGAUAUUCUUGACCGCCGUCCAGUGUUCCAUACCGGGAUCACUUUGGUACCUCCCUACCAAACUUAUGGCAAGGUUUAUAUCAGGUCUGGUACACAGCAUGGCAUACAUAAGAGAGCCUACGGCUGAAGCGUAGGGGACAGAACUCAUCUUCUCUCUAUCUGCUGUCGUGGUCGGCGACUGGGUCUUACUCAAUCUCAUACCUUGCAAAACUGGCAAGAACCCUUUCUUUGAGUUUUCCAUAUUGAACUUCUUCAAUAUCUUGUCAAGGUAUGUACUUUGCGAAAGACCUAUGAGGCGUCUUGAUCUAUCUCUAUAGAUCUUGAUGCCUAAUAUGUAUGCAGCUUCUGCAAGGUCCUUCAUUGAAAAACUCUUGUUCAAAUAGGCCUUUAUGCUCUCCAACAUCUCUAUAUUAUUCCCCACCAAUAAUAUGUCAUCCACAUACAGUAUGAGGAAAGCUACAGAGCUCCCACUCACUUUUUGUAUAGACAGGCUUCUCCGUAAACCUGUAUGAACCCAAACUCUUUAAUCACCUCAUUAAAGCGAAUGUUCCAACUCCGAGAUGCUUGCACCAGCCCAUAGAUGGAGCGCUGGAGGUUGCACACUUUGUUAGCACCCUUAGGGUCGACAAAACCUUAUGGUUGCAUCAUAUACAACUCUUCCUUAAGGUUCCCGUUAAGGAACGCUGUUUUGACGUCCAUUUGCCAAAUUUCAUAAUCAUAAAAGGCGGCAAUUGCUAACAUGAUUCUGACUGAUUUCAGCUUCGCUACGGGAGAGAAAGUCUCUUCGUAGUCAAUUCCUUGAAUUUGUCGAAAACCCUUUGUGACAAGUAGAUCUUUAUAAACGGUUACAUUACCGUUUGCAUUAGUCUUCUUCUUGAAGAUCCAUUUAUUUUCUAUGGCUCGCCGGUCAUCGGGCAAGUCCACCAAAGUCCAUACUUUGUUCUCAUACAUGGAUCCUAUCUCGGAUUUCAUAGCUUCAAGCCAUUUGUUGGAAUCCGGGCCCGCCAUCGCUUCUUCAUAGUUCGAAGGUUCACCGUUGUCUAACAACAUGAUUUCCAUUACAGGGUGCCGUACCACUCUGGUGCGGAGCGUACCCUUGUGGACCUUCGCGGCUCAGCAGUAACAUGAUCCGAAGCUUCAUGAUCAUUAUCAUUAACUUCCUCUUCAGUUGGUGUAGGCGCCACAGGAACAACUUCCCGCGCUGCGCUACUAUCCUGUUCGAGAGGGGGUGUAAUUACCUCAUCAAGUUCUACCUUCCUCCCACUUACUUCUUUCAAGAGAAACUCUUUCUCUAGAAACGAUCCGUUCUUGGCAACAAAGGUUUUACCUUCGGAUCUAAGAUAGAAGGUAUACCCAAUAGUUUCCUUAGGGUAUCCUAUGAAUACGUAUUUCUCCGCUUUGGGUUCGAGAUUUUCUGGUUGAAGUUUCUUCACAUAAGCAUCGCAGCCCCAAACUUUAAGAAACGACAACUUAGGUUUCUUGCCAAACCAUAGUUCAUACGGUGUCGUCUCAACGGAUUUAGACGGUGCCCUAUUUAAAGUGAAUGCUGUAGUUUCUAAUGCGUAUCCCCAAAAUGAUAGCGGUAACUCGGUAAGAGACAUCAUACAUCGUACCAUAUCUAAUAAAGUGCGAUUACGACGUUCAGACACUCCGUUGCGUUGCGGUGUGCCAGGCGGCGUUAGUUGUGAAACGAUUCCACACUUCCUUAGGUGUGUGCCAAACUCGUGACUCAAAUAUUCUCCUCCAAGAUCAGAUCAUAGACACUUAAUUUUUCUGUCACGUUGAUUCUCGACCUCACUCUGAAAUUCCUUGAACUUUUCAAAUGUCUCAGAUUUGUGCUUCAUCAAGUAGAUAUACCCAUACCUACUCAAAUCAUCGGUGAGAGUGAGAACAUAACGAUAGCCACCGCGAGCUUCAACGUUCAUUGGACCACACACAUCAGUAUGUAUUAUUUCCAAUAAGUCGGUUCCUCUCUCCAUUAUUCCUGAGAAUGGAGUCUUAGUCAUCUUGCUCAUGAGGCACGGUUCGCAUGUGUCAAAUGAUUCAAAGUCAAGAGACUCUAAUAGUCCAUCAGUAUGGAGCUUCUUCAUGCACUUAACGCUGAUAUGACCAAGGCGGUAGUGCCACAAGUAUGUGGGACUAUCAUUAUCAACUUUACACCAUUUGGUACUCACACUAUGAAUAUGCGUAACAUCACGAUCGAGAUUCAUCAAGAAUAAACCAUUCACCAGGGGAGCAUGACCAUAAAACAUAUCACUCAUAUAAAUAGAACAACCAUUAUUCUCUGACUUAAAUGAGUAGCCGUCUCGCAUUAAGAAAGACCCUGAUACAAUAUUCAUGCUCAAAGCUGGUGCUAAAUAACAAUUAUUAAGGUUUAAAACUAAUCCCGACGGUAUAUGUAGAGGUAGCGUGCCGACGGCGAUCACAUCGACCUUGGAGCCAUUCCCGACGCGCAUCGUCACCUCUCCUUGGCCAGUCUCCGCUUAUUCCGCAGUUCCUGCUUUGAGUUGCAAAUGUGAGAAACAACACCGGUAUGAAAUACCCAGGAGCUACUACGAGCGUUGGUAAGGUACACAUCAAUAACAUGUAUAUCACAUAUACCUUUAACGUUGCCGGCCUUCUUGUCCGCUAAGUAUUUGGGGCAGUUCCGCUUCGAGUGACCCUUUCCCUUGCAAUAGAAGCACUCAGUCUCAGGCUUGGGUCCAUUCUUUUUCUUCUUCCCGACAUCUGGCUUACCGGGCGUGGCAACGGCUUUGCCGUCUUUCUUGAAGUUCUUCUUACCCUUGCCCUUCUUGAAACUAGUGGUCUUGUUGACCAUCAACACUUGAUGCUGUUUCUUGAUUUCUACUUCUGCAGACUUGAGCAUCGAGUACAACUCGGGAAUGGUCUUCUCCAUCCCUUGCAUGUUGUAGUUCAGGACAAAACCUUUGUAGCUUGGUGGGAGAGACUGGAGGAUUUUGUCAAUUAUAGCAUCAUCCGGAAGUUCGACUCCAAGUGAAGUCAGACGACCGUGUAACCCGGACAUUUUGAGUAUGUGCUCACUGACAGAACUGUUCUCCUCCAUCUUACAGCUAAAGAACUUGUCGGAGACUUCAUAUCUCUCGACACGGUCAUGAGCUUGAAAAACUAGCUUCAGCUCUUGGAACAUCUCAUAUGCACUGUGUUGCUCAAAACACCUUUGGAGCACCGUUUCUAAAUUGUAUAGCAUGCCACACCUAACCAUAGAGUAGUCAUCACUCCGUGUUUGCCAGACGUUCAGAAUGUCCUGGGCUGCUGUGGGAGCGGGAGGGUCACCUAGCGGCGCAUCAAGGACAUAAGCCUUUUUAGCUGCUUCAAGGAUGAGCUUCAAGUUGCGAACCCAGACCGCAUAGUUGCCACCAUCAUCUUUCACCUUGUUUUUCUCUAGGAAUGCGUUGAAAUUGACGUUAUCGUUGGCCAUCUACAAUAUUUAUAAAGACAAUUUUAGACUAAGUUCAUGACAAUUAAGUUCAUUUAAUCAAAUAAGUACGAACUCCCACUUAAAUCGACAUCCCUCUAGUCAUCUAAGUGAUACAUGAUCCAUGUUGACUAACCCGUGUCCGAUCAUCACGUGAGACGGACUAGUCACCAUGGUGAGCAACUUCAUGCUGAUCGUAUUCAACCAUAUGACUCAUGUUCGACCUUUCGGUCUCUUGUAUUCGAGGUCAUGUCUGUAUAUGUUAAGCUCGUCGAGUCAACCUAGGUGUUUUGCGUGUGUAAAUCUGGCUUACACCCGUUGUAUGCGAACGUAAGAAUCUAUCACACCCGAUCAUCACGUGGUGCUUCGAGACAACGAUCCUUCACAAUGCUGCACACUUAGGCGAAUACGUUCUCGAAAUUUUAAGAGGGAUCAUCUUAUUAUGCUACCGUCGUUCUAAGCAAUAAGAUGAAAAACAUGAUAAACAUCACAAUGCAAUCAUAUAGUGACAUGAUAUGGCCAUUAUCAUCUUUGCUCUUUCGAUCUCCAUCUUCGGGCAUCGCAUGAUCAUCAUCGUCACCGGCGUGACACCAUGAUCUCCAUCAUCAUGAUCUGCAUCAUCGUGUCUCCGUGAAGUCGUCACGCCAACUACUACUAUCACUACUACUAUAGCUAACCGUUAGCAAUGAAGUAAAAGUAGUAAGCACAUGGCGUUGCACCUCAUACAAUAAAUUAAGACAACUCCUAUGGCUCCUGCCGGUUGUCAUACUCAUCGACAUGCAAGUCGUGAAACCUAUUACAAUAACAUGAUCAUCUCAUACAUCAUACAUUCAACAUCACAACUUUGGCCAUAUCACAUCACAUGUCAAACCCUGCAAAAACAAGUUAGACGUCCUCUAAUUGUUGUUGCAAGUUUUACGUGGCUGAUUUGGGUUUCUAGCAAGAACGCCUUCUUACCUACGUGACAGCCACAAUGAUGAUAUGCCAAAGCUAUUUACCCUUCGUAAGGACCCUUUUCAUCAAGUCCAAUCCGACUAGAGUGGGAGAGACAAACACCCGCUAGCCACCUUUAUGCACGGUGUGCAUGUCUGUCGGUGGAACCAGUCUCACGUAAGCGUAUAUGUAAGGUCGGUCCGGGCCGCUUCAUCCCACAAUACCGCCAGAAAAGAAUAAGACUAGUAGCGGCAAGCAAUUGACAAAUCAUCGUCCACAACCUUUUGUGUUCUACUCGUGCAUAGAAUCUACGCAUAGAAAACCUGGCUCGGAUGCCACUGUUGGGUAACGCAGCAUAAAUUCAAAAAAAUUCCUACGCAUAUUCAGAUCUUCCUAUGGAGAGACCAGCAACGAGAGAGGGGUGAGUGCAUCUUCAUACAUUUGAAGAUCUCUAAGAGGAAGCGUUACUAGAACGCGGUUGAUGGAGUCGUACUCGCGGCGAUUCAGAUCGCGGUGUGAUUCCGAUCUAGUGCCGAACUACGGCACCCCCGCGUUCAACACACGUGCAGCCCGGUGACGUCUCCCGCACCUAGAUCCAGCAAGGAGGAGGGAGAGGUUGGGGAAGAUCUCCAGCAGCACGACGGCAUGGUGUCGAUGGAGAGACGAGGUCUCCCGGCACGGCUUCGCCAAGCAUCGGCAGAGAAGAGGAGAAAGAAGAGCAGGGCUGCGCCGAGGGAGAGGAAGAUUGGUGUCUCCAACAUCCCAAAGUGCCCACUAUAUAUAGGGGGAGGGAGGGGCUGGGGGGAGGUGCGGCGGCCAGGAGGUGAGGAGGGGUGGCGCACCCUUCUGGUGGGCCUUAGGCCCACCUGCGCUAGGGUUCCCCCUCCCCCUCUUCUUGCGCCAUGGGCUGAGUGUGGGGGGCGCACCAGCCCACCUAGGGGCUGGUUCCCUCCCGCACUUGGCCUAUCUAGCCUCCCGGGGUCGUGUCCCCCUGCCGGUGGACCCCCGGGGCCACCUCCGGUGGUCCCGGUACGUUGCCGGUGACGCCCAAAACACUUCCGGUGUCCGAAACCAUCCGUCCUAUAUAUCAAUCUUUACCUUUGAACCAUUCCGGAGCUCCUCGUGACAUCCGGGAUCUCAUCCGGGACUCCGAACAACUUUCGAUAACCUCGUAUAACAAUUCCCUAUAACCCUAGCGUCAUCGAACCUUAAGUGUGUAGACCCUACAGGUUUGGGAGACAGGUAGACAUGACCAAGACACCUCUCUGGCCAAUAACCAUCAGCGGGGUCUGGAUACCCAUGGUGGCUCACACUUGCUCCAUGAUGAUAUCAUCGGAUGAACCACGAUGUCAAGGAUUCAAUUAAUCCCGUAUACAAUUCCCUUUCUCUAUCGGUAUAGAACUUGCGUGAGAUUCGAUGAUCGGUAUACCUAUACCUUGUUCAAUCUCGUUACCGGUAAGUCUCUUUACUCGUUCCGUAGCACGUCAUCGUGUGACUAACUCCUUAGUCACAUUGAGCUCAUGAUGAUGUUCUACCGAGUGGGCCCAGAGAUUCCUCUCCGUCACACGGAGUGACAAAUCCCGAUCUCGAUUCGUACCAACCCAACAGACACUUUCAGAGGUACCCGUAGUGCACCUUUAUAGUCACCCAGUUACGUUGUGACGUUUGAUACACCCAAAGCACUCCUACGGUAUCCGGGAGUUGCACAAUCUCACGGUCGAAGGAAAAGAUACUUGACAUUGGAAAAGCUUUAGCAUACGAACAAUACAAUCUAGUGCUACGCUUAGGAUUGGGUCUUGUCCAUCACAUCAUUCUCCCAAUGAUGUGAUCCCGUUAUCAAUGACAUCUAAUGCCCAUGACCAGGAAACCAUGAUCAUCUAUUGACUAACGAGCUAGCCAACUAGAGGCUUGCUAGGGACACAUUGUGAUCUAUUUAUUCACACAUGUAUUACUGUAUCGUGUUAAUAAAAUUAUAGCAUUAACAAUAGACGAUUAUCAUGAACAAGGAAAUAUGAUAAUAAUCAUUUUAUUAUUGCCUCUAGGGCAUAUUUCCAACAGAGCAUCACUUGGAAACUUUUCCUUAGUUUUACCUCGGCCCCCUUUAACAGUACGGUGGUCCUAUGAUAUAAUAUAGAGGAAAUGAAACUAUGAAAACAAAAGUCUUCACACUUCAAAGUCCUCGCAUCAAUUCCUUCACAUACACACCAAUUUCCUCACUUUCAAAGUCUUCGAGGAAAUAACAAAGUCUUCAACCAAAGACAUACAUUUUUAAGGGUCGAUAUUCUUCGAAUACCUCAAACUCCUCAGCUACUUAUAGAGUCUGUGUACACUCACAAACACAUUAGUCUCUUAACCUAUAAGUCUUCAAUACACCAAAAUCACUAAGGGCAUUGUUAGAGCGUAUUUCUCCGUAUGUGGUUUUGGUAAUUGAUGACAAUUCCUAUGGACUAAUGGUUGCCUUAAGUUAUAUUUAUAGGAUUUGUCCAUAGGCACUUCUUGAAAUCCAUCUGUUGGGUUGAGUUUAUAUGAUGACCAAGGUGGUAUUAAAGGUAUUAUCCAAAGAAUGGUCAUAGAGACACAAGGUUGAUCAAGAUCGUCAGACAAAGAGUAAAUCAAGAUGAUCAACACACAAAGCGUACAAGAUGUACCGAGAGGGAUCAACUGAUCCCAUGGUAUGGUAAGCAUUGUCCAUUACGUGUUUGUGUACUAAGCCAUGGUCUUUGUGAGAGUUCUAUGUGGGGGUUAGGUGUGCUUCCAUGGGCUUGCGUCAAAAGGAAGAUCUCAUACAACCCAUGAAGGAUGACGUCAAGUGGUGAUCGUCAUCAAGAUUGCGAUGUGCAAGUUCAAGUGGAUCAGCACGAAUAUAUCAUGCUUGAUGCUUACCGUCCAUUGUGGUGGCAAUGGACUUGUGAAGAUAUGUUGAAGAGCGGCUCACCCAUAGUGUGUAUGGGGGAGCAAUCAACUAGUCUUCAUCAAGCCAACGCAAUCAAAAAAGGUGGUCCAUCUUGAGGAAGCCAAGAUCAUCAUCAUCUAGCUCAAUAGGAUGAGGUGCAAGGUAUAGGUUGUUGGGGUACGUUGCAUGGGAAACAAAAAAUUUCCUACGCCUACGAAGACCUAUCAUGGUGAUGUUCAUCUACGAGAGGGAGAUUAGAUCUACAUACCCUUGUAGAUCGCUCAACGGGAAGCAUUAAGAAAUGUGGUUGAUGUAGUGGUACAUCUUCGUGAUUCAAAUCACCGCCGUCCCACGAUCCGUCCCUCGAACCGUCCCACAAUCCGUCCCACGAACCGUCUCGUGAUCCAUCCCACGAUCCAUCCCGAUCUAGCGUCGAACGGACGGCACCUCCGCGUUCAGUACACGUACAGAUCGAUGACGAUCUCGGCCUUCUAGAUCCAGCAAGAGAGAUAGAGAAGUAGAUGAGUUCUCCGGCAGCGUGAUGGCGCGCCGGUGUUGGUGAUGAUCUAUUCCUGCACGGCUCUACCCGAGCUCCGCAGAAAUCUAAUCUAGAGGAAGAACUAUGAGGUGUAGGUUUGAGUUGCAUGUGGCAAAAGUUGUGUCUCAAACAGCCCUAAACCUCAAGUAUAUAUAGGCGGAGUCAAGGGGUGGGGGAAAGCCCUUAGGGCGCCGGCCAAAGAGGCCCUCCUUGGGUCGGCCGAAGUGGGAAGGGAAGAGUCCUUCUCCAAUCCCACUUGGAUUAGGACUCCUUCCUUAUUUUCCCACUCUUUUGGAUUUUCCACUUUUUCCUCAUGGGCUUUCCUUGGAUGACUUUGUCAGCCCAUUAUACCUUAUUGCACAGCCAAUAAACCCAUGUGGACCCCUUGGGGCGUGGUGGGCCCACCCAGUGGGCCCCCAGAACCAAUUCGUCACUCCCGGUACACUGCCGGUAAUGCCCGAAAACUUUCCGGAAUCCAAACACCAACUUCCUAUAUAUCAAUCUUAGUUUCCAGACCAUUCCAGAAACCCUCGUGACGUCCGUGAUCUCAUCACGGACUCCGAACAACCUUCGGUCACCAACACAUAUAACUCAACUAUACUAAAACGUCACCAAACCUUAAGUGUGUAGACCCUGCGGGUUCGAGAACUAUGUAGACAUGACCCGAGACACUCCUCGGUCAAUAUCCAAUAGCGGGACCUGGAUGUCCAUAUUGGAUCCUACAUAUUCUACGAAGAUCUUAUCGGUUGAACCUCUGUGCCAGGGAUUCAUAUAAUCUCGUAUAUCAUUCCCUUUGUCCUUCGGUAUGUUACUUGCCCGAGAUUUGAUCGUCCGUAUCCCUAUACCUAUUUCAAUCUCGUUACCGGCAAGUCUCUUUGCUCAUUCUAUAAUACAAGAUCCCGUGACUCACACUUGAGUCACAUUGCUUGCAAGGCUUGUGUGUGAUGUUGUAUUACCGAGUGGGCCCCGAGAUACCUCUCCGUCACACGGAGUGACAAAUCCUAGUCUUGAUCCAUGCUAACUCAACGGACACCUUCAGAGAUACCUGUAGAGCACCUUUAUAGUCAUCCAGUUAUGUUGUGACGUUUGAUACCCACAAGGUAUUCCUUCGGUGUUAGUGAGUUACAUGAUCUCAUGGUCAUAGGAAUGAAUACUUGACACGCAGAAAACAAUAGCAAUAAAAUGACACGAUCACAUGCUACGUUCAUAGUUUGGGUCUUGUCCAUCACAUGAUUCUCCUAAUGAUGUGAUCCCGUUAUCAAGUGACAACACUUGUCUAUGGUGAGGAAACCUUGACCAUCUUUGAUCAACGAGCUAGUCAACUAGAGGCUUACUAGGGACAGUGUUUUGUCUAUGUAUCCACACAUGUAUUUGUGUUUCCAAUCAAUACAAUUAUAGCAUGGAUAAUAAACAAUUAUCAUGAACAAAGAAAUAUAAUAAUAACUAAUUUAUUAUUUCCUCUAGGGCAUAUUUCCAACAGUCUCCCACUUGCACUAGAGUCAAUAAUCUAGUUCACAUCACCAUGUGAUUUCAAAGAAUCCAACACCCAUACAGUUCUGGGGCUUGAUCACGUCUUGCUCGUGAGAGAGGUUUUAGUCAACGGUUCUAAAUCUUUCAAAUCCGUGUGUGCUUUACAAAUCUUUAUGUCAACUUAUAGUUGCUGCUACUACGUGCUAUUCGGAAAUACUCCAAAUAUCUACUCUACUAUACGAAUCCGUUUUACUACUCAGAGUUAUUCGGAUUAGUGUCAAAGCUUGCAUCGAUGUAACCCUUUACAACGAACUCUUUAACCACCUCCAUAAUCGAGAAAAAUUCCUUAGUCCACUAGUUAUUAAGGAUAACUUUGACCGCUGUUUUAGUGAUUCAAUCCUGAAUCACCUUUUGUACCCCUUGAUAGACUCAUGGCAAGGUACACAUCAGGUGCGGUACACAGCUUGGCAUACUUUAGAGCCUACGGCUAAGGCAUAGGGGACGACCUUCGUCCUUUCUCUUUCUUUUGCCGUGGUCGGGCGUUGAGUCUUACUCAAAUUCACACCUUACAACACAGCCAAGAACUCCUUCUUUGCUGAUCUAUUUUGAACUCCUUCAAAAACCUGUCAAGCCACGCAUUUCAUUGAAAGUUCUAUUUAGUGUUUUGAUCCAUCUCUAUAGAUCUUGAUGCUCAAUGUUUCAAGUAGCUCUAUCCAGGUCUUCCUUUGAAAAACUUCGUUCAGACAACCUUUUAUGCUUCACAGAAAUUCUACAUUACUUCCGAUCUACAAUAUGUCAACCACAUAUACUUAUUAGAAAUUCCAUAGUGCUCCCACUAACUUCUUUGGAAAUACAAGUUUCUCAUAAACCUUGUACAAACCCAAAAGCUUUGAUCAUCUCAUCAAAGCGUAUAUUCCAACUCCGAGAUGCUUGCACCAGUCCAUCGAAGGAUCGCUGGAGCUUGCAUACUUGUUAGCAUCCUUAGGAUUGACAAAACCUUCUCGUUGUAUCACAUACAACCUUUCCUCAAGGAAACCGUCGAGGAAACAAUGUUUUGUCAUCCUAUGUGCAAUAUUUCACAAACAAUGCAGCAAUUGCUAACACAAUUCCAACAUAUUUUGAGCAUCGCUACGAGCGAGAAAGUCUCAUCAUAGACAACUCCUUGAACUUGUUGGAAACAUCUUUGCGACAAGUCGAGCUUUUCUUAAUGGUGACUUUUCACCAUCAUCGUAUGUCUUCCCUUUAAAGAUCCAUCUUUACUUAACAGUCGUACGACCAUCAAGUAGUUCUUCCAAAGUCUACACUUUGUUUUCAUACAUGGAUCCUCUCUCGGAUUUCAUGGCCUCUAGCCAUUUGUCGGAAUCCGGGACCACCAUCGCUUCUCCAUAGCUCAUAGGUUCAUUGUUGUUCAACAACAUGACCUCCAAGACAAGGUUACAGUACCACUCUGUAGUAGUACGCGACCUUGUCGACCUACGAGGUUUGUAGUAACUUGAUCCGAAGCUCAAUGAUCACCAUCAUCAGUUUCCACUUCAAUUGGUGUAGGCACCACAUGAACAACUUCUUGCGCCCUGCUACACACUGGUUGAAGUGAAGAUUCACUAACCUCAUCAAGUUCCACCACCCUCCCACUCAAUUCUUUCGAGAGAAACCUUUCCUCGAGAAAGGACCCGUUUCUAGAAACAAACACUUCGCUUCCGGAUCUGAGAUAGGAGAUGUACCCAACUAUUUUGGAUAUCCUAUGAAGAUGCAUUUAUCCGUUUUGGGUUCGAGCUUAUCAGACUGAAACUUUUUCACAUAAGCAUCGCAGCUCCAAACUUUUAAGAAACGACAGCUUAGGUUUCUCCAAACCAUAAUUCAUACUGUGUCAUCUCAACGGAAAUACGCGGUGCCCUAUUUAAAGUGAAUGCGGUUGUCUCUAAUGCAUAACCCAUAAACGAUAGUGGUAAUUUGAUAAGAGACAUCAUAGUAUGCGCUUAUAUCCAAUAGGGCGCGGCUAUGACAUUCAGACACACCAUCACACUAUGGUGUUCUUAGGUGGCAUGAAUUGCAAAACGAUUUCCACAUUGUUUUAAUCGUGUACCAAAACUCGCAACUCAAAUUUUCAUCUCUAUGAUCAUAUCGUAGAUAGUUUAUCCUCUUGUCACGACGAUCUUCACUCUGAAAAUAGCUUUGAACUUUUCCAAUAUUUCACACUUGUGAUUCAUCAAGUAAAUACUCCUGUAUCUACUUAAAUCAUCAGUGAAGUAAGAAGAUAACGAUAUCCACUGCGUGCCUCAGCACUCAUUAGACCGCACACAUCAAAAAUGUAAUACUUCCAACAAGUUACUUUCUUGUUCCAUGUGGUAUGAUUUGCAUGUCUCAAGUGAUUCAAAAAUCAGGUGAGUCCAAACAAUCCAUCUGCAUGGAGUUUCUUCAUGCGUUUAUACCAAUAGGUAUGGUUUGCAUGUAUCAAACGUUUCAAAAAUGAGUGAGUACAAAGGUCCAUCAACAUGGAGCUUCUUCAUGCAUUUUACACCAACAUGACUCAAGUGGCAGUGCCACAAGUAAGUGGUACUAUCAUUAUUACUUUGUAUCUUUUGGCACCAAUAUUAUGAACAUGUGUAACACUACGAUCGAUAUUCAAUAAACCAUUGAGGAUAAUUAUUCAAGCAAAUAGAAUAACUAUUAUUCUCUUUAAAUGAAUAAUCGUAUUGCAAUAAACAUGAUGCAAUCAUGUUCAUGCUCAAUGCAAACACCAAAUAACAAUUAUUUAGGUUUAACAGCAAUCCCGAUGGUACAGAGAGCAUGCGAUAUUUGAUCACAUCAACCUUGGAGACACUUCCAACACAUAUCGUCACCUCGUCUUUCGCUAGUCUCUGUUUAUUCCGUAGCUUUGAUUUCGAGUUACUAAUCAGUUAGCAACUGAACCGGUAUCUAAUACCCUCGUGCUACUAGGAGUACUAGUAAAGUAUAAAUCAAUAUCAUGUAUAUCAAAUAUACUUCUGUCGACUUUUGUCAGCCUACUCAUCUACCAAGUAUCUAGGGUAGCUCCGCCUCGGUAACCAUUCCCCUCAUAACAGAAGCACUUAGUCUCGGGUUUGGGUUCAAUCUUUGGUUUCUUCAUUAGACCAACAACUGGUUUGUCGUUUCAUGAAGUAUCCCUACUAGCCCUUGCCCUUCUUGAAACUAGUGGUUUUACUAACCAUCAACAAUUAAUGAUCCUUCUUGAUUUUUACUUUCGCAGUGUCAAACAUUGCAAAUCAUUCAAGGAUCAUCAUAUCUAUCCUUGAUAUGUUAUAAUUCAUCAUGAAGCUCUAGCAGCUUGGUGGCAGUGACUUUGGAGAACCAACACUAUCUUAUCUGGAAGAUUAACUCCCACUUCAUUCAAGCGAUUGUUGUACUCACACAAUCUGAGCACAUGCUCAAUGAUUGAGCUUUUCUCCUUUACUUUGCAGACAAAGAAUCUUGGUGGAGGUCUCAUACCUCUCAACAAGGGCACGAGCAUGAAAUCUCAAUUUCAUUUCUUAGAACAUCUCUUAUGUUUCGUGACGUUUCAAAACGUCUUCGGCACCUUGCUUAUAAGCCAUUAAGUAUUACGCACUGAACUAUCACGUAGUCAUCAAAAACGUGUAUGUCAGAUGUUCGCAACAUCCAAAGACGGCGCUCGAGGUGCAGCACACCGAGUGGUGCAUUAAGGACAUAAGCCUUCUGCGCAGCAAUGAGGAUAAUCCUCAGUUUUAUGGACUCAGUCCGCAAAGUUGCUACUAUCAUCUUUCAACUAAAUUUUCUCUAGGAACAUAUAAAAACAGUAGAGCUAUAGCGCAAGCUACAUCAUAAUUCGCAAAGACCUUUUGACUAUGUUCAUGAUAAUUAGAGUUUAACUAAUCAAAUUACUUAAUAAACUCCCAGUCAAAAAGUACAUCCCUCUAGUCAUUUGAGUGGUACAUGAUCCAAAUCCACUAACUCAAGUCCGAUCAUCACGUGAGUUGAGUAUAGCUUCAGUGGUAAGCAUCUCUAUGCUAAUCAUAUCAACUAUACGAUUCAUGCUCGACCUUUCGGUCUCUUAUGUUCCGAGGCCAUGUCUGCACAUGCUAGGCUCGUCAAGUUUAACCCGAGUGUUCCGCAUGUGCAACUAUUUUGCACUCAUUGUAUGUGAACGUUGAGCUAUCACACCCGAUCAUCAUGUGGUGUCUCGAAACGACGAACUGUCACAACGGUGCACAGUCGGGGAGAAUACAAUUUCUUCUUGAAAUUUUAGUGAGAGAUCACCUUAUAAUGCUACCGUAGUUCUAAGCAAAAUAAGGUGCAUAAAAGGAUUAACAUCACAUGCAAUUCGUAAGUGACAUGAUAUGGCCAUCAUCUUGUGCUUAUUGAUCUCCAUCACCAAAGCACUGCCAUGAUCUUCUUAUCACCGACGCCACACCAUGAUCUCCAUCAUCAUAAUAUCCAUCAUCGUGCCGCCAUAGAGGUUGUCAUGCUAUCUAUGCUAUUACUACUAAAGUUACGACCUAGCAAUAUAGUAAACGCAUCUGCAAACACAAACGUUAGUUUAAAUAAAACCCUAUGGCUCAUGUCGGUUGCUGUAGCAUUGACGUGCAAGUCGAUAUUAACUAUUACAACAUGAUCAUCUCAUACAUCCAAUAUAUCACAUCACGCAUUGGCCAUAUGAUAUCACAAGCAUACCCUGCAAAAACAAGUUAGACGUCCUCUAAUUUCUUGUUGCAUGUUUUACGUGGCUGCUAUGGGUAUCUAGUAUGAUCACAUCUUACUUACGCAAAAACCACAACGGAGAUGUGCAAAUUUCUAUUUAACCUGUCUCCAAGGACCGCCUCGGUCAAAACCAAUUCAACUAAAGUUGAAGAAACAGACACCCGCCAGUCAUCUUUAUGCAACGAGUUGCAUGUUAGUCGAUGAAACCAGUCUCUCGUAAGCAUACGAGUAAUGUCGGUCCGGGCCGCUUCAAUCCAACAAUACCGCCGAAUCGAGAAAAGACUAAGGAGGGCAGCAAAUCAAACAUAAACGCCCACAUAACCUUUUGUGUUCUACUCGAGAUAACAUCUACGCAUGAACCUAGCUCAUGAUGCCACUGUUGGGGAUCGUUGCAUGGGAAACAAAAAAUUUCCUACGCACACGAAGACCUAUCAAUGUGAUGUUCAUCUACGAGAGGGAGAUUACAUCUACAUACCCUUGUAGAUCGCUCAGCGGGAAGCGUUAAGAAACGUGGUUGAUGUAGUGGUACAGCUUCGUCAUUCAAAUCACCGUCGUCCCACAAUCCGUCCCUCGAACCGUCCCACAAUCCCUCCCAAGAACCGUCUCGCGAUCCAUCUCGAUAAAGCGCCGAAUGGAUAGCACCUCCGCGUUCAGCACACGUACAGCUCGAUGACGAUCUGGGCCUUCUUGAUCCAGCAAGAGAGACGGAGAAGUAGAUGAGUUCUCCGACAACGUGAUGGCGCGCCGGUGUUGGUGAUGAUCUAUUCCUGCACGGCUCUGCCCGAGCUCCAUAGAAAUCUAAUCUAGAGGAAGAACUAUGAGGUGUAGGUUUGAGUUGCACGUGGCAAAAGUUGUGUCUCAAACAGCCCUAAACCUCAAGUAUAUAUAGGAGGAGUCAAGGGGUGGGGAAAUACCUUAGGGCGCCGGCCAAAGAGGCCCUCCUUGGGUCGGCCGAAGUGGGAAGGGAAGAGUCCUUCUCCAAUCCCACUUGGAUUAGGACUCCUUCCUUAUUUUCCCACCUCUUUUGGAUUUUCCACUUUUUCCUCAUGGGCUUUCCUUGGAUGACUUUGUUAGCCCAUUAUACCUUAUUGCGCAUACAAUAAACCCAUGUGGACCCCUUGGGGCGCAUACAAUAAACCCAUUUGAUCGUCGGUAUCCCUAUACCUAUUCCAAUCUCGUUACCGGCAAGUCUCUUUGCUCGUUCUAUAAUACAAGAUCCCGUGACUCACACUUGAGUAACAUUGCUUGCAAGGCUUGUGUGUGAUGUUGUAUUACCGAGUGGGCCCCGAGAUACCUCUCCGUCACAUGGAGUGACAAAUCCCAAUCUUGAUCCAUGCUAACUCAACGGACACCUUCAGAGAUACCUGUAGAGCACCUUUAUAGUCAUCCAGUUAUGUUGUGACGUUUGAUACCCACAAGGUAUUCCUUCGGUGUUAGUGAGUUACAUGAUCUCAUGGUCAUAGGAAUGAAUACUUGACACGCAGAAAACAAUAGCAAUAAAAUGACACGAUCACAUGCUACGUUCAUAGUUUGGGUCUUGUCCAUCACAUGAUUCUCCUAAUGAUGUGAUCCCGUUAUCAAGUGACAACACGUGUCUAUGGUCAGAAAACCUUGACCAUCUUUGAUCAACGAGCUAGUCAACUAGAGUCUUACUAGGGACAGUGUUUUGUCUAUGUAUCCACACAUGUAUUUGUAUUUCCAAUCAAUACAAUUAUAGCCUGGAUAAUAAACGAUUAUCAUGAACGAAGAAAUAUAAUAAUAACUAAUUUAUUAUUGCCUCUAGGGAAUAUUUCCAACAUAGGUUUUCCCUUGAUAGGUUUUCUGUUUUAGGAUAGAUUGACAUACUGUCAAGGGGGGCUCUCAAGUGAGUAGCUCGAUUGUAUCGUUCGUUGAGAGCCCAAACCAUUUGCAUCCUUGCAUCAUACUUCUUGGUUCUUGUUUGGUGUUUCUCUUUGUGAGUUUUAGAGCUUAUGGUCAUCUUCAUGACAAGCUCGAGUUCAUAAAAAAUGAAGUCCAUAUGCAUCUACUAUAUAGCUGUUUGGAUAGCUCUUGUCGUCGUGAAUCCAACAAGCUUGGGUUUGCUCGAUUCAGAGCUCGUAUGCGAAAGUUAUGGCUGUUUCAGUGGCGAGCGGUAGUACCGCUUGUGCCAAGCGGUAGUACCGCUCCCUAGCGGUAGUACCGCUCCGGGUGGGCGGUAGUACCGCUGCCUAGCGGUAGCACCGCUCCAGGUGGGCGGUAGUACCGCUUCGGGAUGGUAGUACCUCUCUCUGAGCGGUUGUACUUUGUCGGACUUUUUGCGAAUACUUUUCCAAGCGGCGGUAGGCCCGAGAGUAAUAUCUUUACUACCGUGGCCUAGCGGUAGUACCGCUCCUCACCAGUGGUAGUACCGCUAGGGGCAGCGGUAGUACCACUAGAGGCAGUGGUAGUAGCGCACCUCGCCAGCGGUAGUACCGCUAGAGGCAACGGUAGUACUGCGCCUCACCGGCGGUAGUAACGCUGUGCGCGGGCUGUAAGUGGGGGUAACGGUCUGAUUCCUUCCCCCACUAUAUAAAGGGGGUCUUCUUCCCCGAUGGUCUUUUCUAUCUCUUGAGAUCAUGUUCUUCCCCCAUUGUUGACCUUCUUCGAGCUUGCUAACUCUCAAUCCCUCCAAUGAUUCUUGCUAGUUCUUGAGGGAAAAGAGAGAGGAGAUCUAGAUCCACAUCUCCACCAAUCACUUUCUCCUCUAUGUGAAGGGAACCCCUUGGAUUUGGAUCUUGGAGUUCUUUGUGAGCUCCUUGUUCUUCCUCUCAUAUUUCUCCAUAGCUUUUGUUGUUGUGGAGGGAUUUAAGUGUGAGGGACUUGGCCACUUCGUGUGUUCUUACCAUUGCAUUAGUUGCAUCGGUUUGAGUUUUCCACGGUGAUACGUGGAAGUGAAGUUUGAGAAUCUUAUCACCUUUUGGUACUUGGUACCCUAGAGAUUUUUCUUCGGGGCUGCUUUGGCGUCCUAGAAGCUUGGUGGUGCCUUGGAGCUCAAUCAUUGUGGUGUAAAGCUCAGAGCAAGCGUCAGGGUCUCCAAUUAGGUUGUGGAGAUUGCCCCGAGCAAUUUGUACGGGUACCGGUGACCGCCCCCAAGGGUUGCCAUUUGUACGGGUUAGGUGACCACCCUCAAGGGUCCCUUAGUGGAAUCACGACAUCUUGCAUUGUGCAAGGGCGUGAGGAGAUUACGGUGGCCUUAGUGGCAUCUUGGGGAGCAUUGCGCCUCCACACCGCUCCAACGGAGAUUAGCAUCCGCAAGGGUGUGAACUUCGGGAUACAUCAUCAUCUCCGCAUGCCUCGGUUAUCUCUUACCCGAACCCUUUACUUAUGCACUUUACUUUGUGAUAGCCAUAUUGUUUCUUGUCAUAUAUCUUGCUAUCACUUAGUUGUUUAUCUUGCUUAGCAUAAGUUGUUGGUGCACAUAGUUGAGCCUAGUUGUUUUAGAUUUUGUGCUUGACAAAUUAAACGUUAGUUUUAUUCCGCAUUUGUUCAAGCCUAAACCGUAAUUAUUUUAAAGCGCCUAUUCACCAUCCCUCUAGGCGACAUCCACGUCCUUUCAGGCACUGGAUGCACUUACAGAAUCAUCAUAAUUUACUUACCUUGUGAGCCAAUUCCAGUUUGAUUUACUUACCAAACUUCUUAUCAAAAUAAAAUGUAAAUCAUGAACAUAAUUUAAUAAAUAUAUAUCUACACAAUCACAUUACAAACAUAUAAAUCACAAGCUACCAUAUUAAAUAUGGAAAAAGCUUGUAAUCACACGACGGAUUGCAACUCCCGCAUCCGCCACCUUCCCCCAGACACCACGUGCCCCACGAACCACUACUACUAUAUUUUUAACUCGCCUGUUGUUGCAUUCUUACCAUCGCAGCAACUGGUAUAUUGCAGACCGAGGAAGACGAAGACGAGACGAUGAUAUCCAGAUCCCUGCAGCGCCGAACGAGAGAUGCACGUCACGUGACGCUUCAAUGUUGGUGCCGACAACAACUGCCCACCUCGUUGGAUAGGAGGAUGGGGCGACGAGGUUGCAACCGAGGUCGGGCGCACAGGUUGUCAUUGCCGCAUGCCUCCACCACAGCUGUUGGCCAAGCACGGUGCGUCAACCUCGCCGGAGAGAAGGGUGCGAUGAGCGACAUGGCGAGAGAUUUCGACGCUCGCCGAUGGGCAGCGUUGCUAGUCCCUCACCGGAGACCUUUUUUUUGCAACAUCCUCCGUGUUGCAUGAAAGAUUCUGCAACAUCACUAAUGUUGCAAAACUUUCUUACGUCGAUAACUUUGUUGCAAAGAAAUCAACAACAAUAAUAGCUAGAUAACAAUACCUCUGUUACAAAAAAUCUGCAACACAUUCUCUGUUGCAAUUUUUUUACAAGACACCCUCUGCUGCAAAAAAAAUCUGUAAUACAAUCUCUGUUAUAAAUGUUUCUACAAUAAGGUCUUUGUUGCAAAGUAGAAAAAAGACGUUCAUCCCGAUAGAUCCGACGACUCGACGAGACGGUGGAUCUUUUAAAAAGAUCUGCCGACCGAUGCGUAGGAUCCCCAUUAAAAUAUUCAUAUCCCAUUGCAACGCACAUGCAUUGUCCUAGGUUUUUUAUGGACAGGCUUUGUCCUAGUCUUUUUUGAACAUCAAUAACUUAAUUCUUUAAAUAAUAGCUAGGUAUGGCAAUGGGUCGGGUUUGGAGCGGGUGGAGCUGGUCCAAAUCCAACCCAUGACCCAUAUUCGUACCCUCUAUCCAUCCACCAAAGUAUCCAUGGACACAAAAUGUGCCCAUGCCCAAACACAUCCAGAUAUCCAUGGAGCUCCAUGGGCAUAGAAAAAUCAACAUGAAGCCUUCCCAAAGAUCAAACUAACUCUUCAUCGUUUGUUAACAAAGAUUAGGUUUAAUAAUUAUGUUAGUGCAGUUGUGGGGGAUUAGGGAAGAUGGGUCAGACUUUGACCUUCUCUGACCACGAGUGACUUGGGGUUGGACAUUUUCUUAGUUUAGUGUCCCUACCAUAGGGGCCCAUGUGUCAUAUGGGUAUCCAUGGAGCAAAAAUUAAAACUGUGCCCAACCCAACUGUUCGUGGGUAUCCAUAUCCACGGAACCAUGGGCAGAAAUGCGCUCCAUACCCUUGCCCAACUGGGUCGGGUAUCCACGGGUAUCCAGAUCCAUGGAUAAAAUUGCCAUCCCUAAUAAUAGCCAUAUCAUUUAAGUUUGCGGAAGAAGAUAGUCUCGGGGUGAAGCGUCCCAAAACUGAAAAUAGUUAGAGUUAUAACAGUGUUUUGCCAAACAAUCAGCGACGAGAUUAGCUUCCCUAGUUAACACCAUAUAUGUGGAGAUAUCAAGAAAAAAGCACUCGGGGUGAAGUGUCCCAAAACUCAAAAGAGUUAAAGUUAUAGCAGUGUUUUGCCAAACAACCAGAAACGAAAUUAGCUUCCCUAUUAACAACAUAUAUAUGGAGAUAUAGAAAAAACACUGAGGGUGAAGCGUCCCAACACUCAAAAGAGUUAGAGUUAUAGCAGUGUUUUGCCAAACAAUCAGUGACAAGAUUAGCUUCCCUAGUUAACACCAUAUAUCUGGAGAUAUCAAGAAAAAAACACUAGUGGUGAAGCGUCCCAAAACUCAAAAGAAUUAGAGUUAUAACAGUGUUUUGCCAAAGGAAAACACUUUGGAUCAACCGACUGAUUUUACUCAAAAAUCAGCCGGGUCGCUGGCUCCUCACGUGUCCCUCUCAGCCACAUCUUUUCUUCCCACCUUAUCCCUUCCAGUGCUCUCUCCUUCACUCAUUCUCCUCCUCAUCUUAUUCCUCUUUUCCUUCCGUAGCAAUGAUGCUGAGAUGAAGCACGACGAGGGGCAGCCGGGGCUGGGAUGGAGCAGCACCAAUGCACGGGGGUGGCGUUGUAGUGAAGCUCCGUCGACGGCGCCGACGAGAUGUUGAGAUGGAGCCCGUAGUGCUGGUGUCGCGCUCCAAUGAAGCAUUGCCGGAGCUGUGAUCGGUCGUCGGUGCUGCAUUGGAGCAUCGCCACGCCAGUGUGGCGCUGCAAUGAAGCUUCAUCGGCGGCUGCAAUGGAGCUUCAUCGACGGCGCCAAGAGUUGCGACGCUGCGCCCUGAGCUGCAAUGGAGCUUUACCUACGGAGACGAGAGCUGCAAUGCAGCGCCCAAAGCUGCAAUGAAGCUUCACCGGCGGCACCAAGAUCUGCGAUGCAGCACCCGCGCUGCAAUGAAGCUCCACUCGCGCUGCAAUGAAGCUUCAUCACGACGAGCGAUCGUUGCUUGCGUUGACUAGAUCCAAAGUCCUUGUAGAACGCAUCUAAUGGCUGGGGACCCGAGUGAUUUCUUGGGAAAUCAGUCGGUUGAUCCGUAGCAGCCGCCUUUGCCAAACAAUCAGCGACGAGAUUAGCUUCCCUAUUAACACCAUAUACGUGGAGAUAUAAAAAAACAAAGGGUGUAGCGUCCCAAAAACUCAAAAGAGUCAGAGUUAUAGGAGUGUUUUGUCAAACAAUCAACGACGAGAUUAGCUUCCCUAAUUAACACCAUACAUAUAUGCGGAGAUAUAUAAAGAAAAAGGAAAACACUUAAAAACAACCGGCUGAUUUUUCACUCGCGUAAGCCGCGGCCGACGCCCGCCACGCGUCCCUGUUUGCUCGCUCAUCCUUUCCCUUAUCUCUUCCCCCACAAACUGGACCGCUCGUUCUUUUUCCUUCCUUUCUUCUUCCUUGAGCACACCGCACCACACACAAGUGCCAGUGCCUGCCAUCGUAGACCAUAGCCGCCGUUGCUGCUGCAAGCGGGCUUCACAAAGGACGGUGCUUUGAUGCAAUUCCAGUUGUCGGUCACCUCAUGCUGCUAUAGGCUAGGUUGGGAGGACGGUGCUGUCAUGGCCGACGGCGGAGCUGCGUUGCAGCAGGCGAUGCGCGGCGAGGUUGUUGCCAUAUUGAUGGCGGAGCUGCGUUGGAGGAGGAGGGGAUACGAGCAACUGCCAUGGCCCUCGACAGAGCUACGGGCAAUGCUGCAACGAAGCUUCGCGGGGGCAUCAAUGAAGCUUUGCCGAAGCUGCAACGAAGCUUCGUCGGGGCGUCAAUGAAGCUUCGCGGUGCUGCACUGAAGCUUCGUCGGGGCGUCAAUGAAGUUUCGCCGGUGCUGCACUGAAGCUUCGCGUGUGGCGUCGGUGCUCCAUUGCAGCUUCGUCUCGGUGCUGGGGUUGUUAUGAAGCUUUUGUCGAUGCUUGAUGUUGCCAUGGACAGCACCUGCAGCUUCGGAUGCAGCGCCAGAUCGUACGUCCCCUAGCGCCAAAUCUAACGGCUGGCUAGGCGGAUGAUUUCCUGGCCUGAUCCGUAGCAGCCCCCAAAGAAAAAACACCAUAUAUGUGGAACGGUGGUCAAUAAAAUAACCUAGAUUUACAACACAUCUGAACCGUCCGAUCCAGAUACUGAGGCACCUAUAGUAGUACUACUCAACCCCUCGUAUAGGAACCGGCAAAAUGAGUUCAGACCCCGUCAAAUUCCGUUCCCCUCUCACCCCGACCUGACCCACCGACCCCUCGCCGGCCCACCGCCACAGGUCGCCGCAAUGGCGUACAACUCUUCGCGCGCGCGCCUCUCGCCGCCAGCUCCCGCGGCCCCUCGCCCCAGGAAGCGCGGACGUUCUCCCUCAGCUCCCGGCGCGGCGGUGUGGCGCGCGUCCGCUGCAUACGUCGCUCCUUUCGACCACCGCCGCCGCUGGCAGAACCCUGCAGGCGCGUCUGGCCGCGUCUGGCAGGGGUACCGCGCGCCACAUACCCCGGUGCCCUCCCGGCAGUGGGUCUUCGCGGACGAGGCAUCCACCUCGGGAUCAGGUAUCCUGUUAGCUGCAUAGCUGUCGUUGUCGAGGAGAUUGGUUACCUUUGCUCACCACUUGUUUGUGUAUAGGUCUGGUAAAAAUUGGCCUUUGCAUUGGCUAUUUUACUAGUAAUACUGCACUACUGCUACCGGGAAAUAGUAAGGAGCUAGUUCAACCAAUUAGGUAGUGGAAGUUAUUUUCCAAAAGAAAAAAGUUCAGUGAAAGUCAAAAUCUUCUACCCAGCUAGUGCAAUCUCCCACAAAGUCAUGAUCUUCGUGUGUACUUCCCUUACAAAGUUGGAUCAGUUUGGCUUGUUGGCUUGGAAGUGUGUUGCUUAUCACAAAUUUGUAUCAGAUUGGGUGGAAUUGUGUUGCUGAGAUGGAGGCAUUCGUGCCUGUACUUAUGCUUUCUUUUGUUAGAUGCAUGCACAAUCAUGUCAUACAACAUCUUGGCGGAUAACAAUGCACGGAACCAUCCUGACCUUUACUUGGACGUCCCUUGGGAUGCUUUGAGAUGGGAUUCGAGGAGAAGGCUUAUUAUCCAUGAAAUUAGGCACUGGGACUCUGACUUAGUGUGUCUUCAGGCAAGAACUCAACCUGCAUAUUGGCGAUGUCAUCCUUCCACUGUACUCUGUAACACUUUAUGUUUGGAAAAUAGGAGGUGGAUAGAUUCCGGGAAAUUGCUGCAGAAAUGAAGAACAAAGGCUAUGAAUGUAGCUUUAAGGUAUAGCACUAUAACAUUUCUCUUUGAAAUUUCUGCCUUUCAAAUCUUAAGCUGAGUCCCGUGCCAUCCUCAGGGGCGCACUGGGGAUGCUAAAGAUGGAUGUGCUACCUUUUGGAAGUCAGAACGGUAUGACUAAUGCUACCCCUUCUCCGCUUGUUAUCUUUAUUGGUUGGAACAAAGCAGCAAUUUUAUCCUUUCUGUUUGUUUGAACUGUAGGUUACGUCUGCUUGAGGAAGAUAGUAUUGACUUUAGUGAAUUCAAUCUACGAAAUAAUGUUGCUCAAGUAUUAGUUUUUGAGGUACUUGGAUUUACAUCAAAGCACUAGUUGGUUCAGUUCAUUAACUAAAGUAAGGAGUAAUUUCUCAUCCAUCCUGGUAAGAGUUAGCAGAUAAUCGCUUGGCUUCUUCUGCUAUUAAUGCUUUCCCUAUUUGAUAUGGGCCUGAGACCCAAAUAAUGGGUAGAACUAGCAGGAAAUAGAGAAGGAGGGGAUAUCUUUUUUUCUGUGAUAGUUCCAUCUUUUCUCUGUGAGUCGAAUAGCUCUAUCUGGAAACAUGCACCAUGUAUUAUUAUAAUUUUAGCACUGUCUUGUGACUCCCUUUACAUUGUGUAAAUGAACCAAAUGAUGUACUACAAUCGUGCAUUUUCUGAAUAGCCUCCCAGCUACCAUCUUUUGUAUAUUUUUUCUUCUUAUUCAGGUCUCUGCUAAGUAACCAAUGUUUUACUGUUGGAAGAAAAUGGUUAUAUUUAUUUUUCUUCUGACAUGUUUCCUUUUCAGCUUAACGGAACCCAAAAAUUUGUACUCGGGAAUAUCCAUGUUUUGUUUAAUCCAAAGCGUGGAGAUGUAAAAAUGGGACAGGUAUGUCAGUUCAGAUAAAAUCAGCAUCAUUUGUUUCAUGCAUAUCUAAUAUCAUUGUGUAGUCGUGUCUCAAGAUGGUCUGCAUAAUCCUCAUUAGCUGAUAGGAAUGUAAUGCACAGUUUGAAAUGACUGUUGGCCACUUCAAAUUUGACAGAUAUCUAUUUACUCCUUCCAACUUUACCCAAAUUAUUGUUUACUCCUGAUUCUCCUUCCUCCAGAUCCGCAUGCUACUGGAGAGGGCGAAUGCUCUUGCUGGAAAAUGGGAUGGAAUUCCUAUUGUGCUUGCUGGUGAUUUUAACAGCACACCUGAAGUAUGUUUUAGUUGCUUCCUUGCAUAUAUGUGCCUUAAGAUUCUCACAUAAAGAUAAUUACUUGUAACAAGUGUUUAGUUUCUGGAACUGAGAUGACAUGUUACCGCUCAUGAGUGAUAGUGCUUUAGAUUGAACGCGGGUGUUGGAUGGUACAAUUAGGGUAUUAAGUUGUAAAUAGGUUUUUUUUUUAUUGAAAUGUGGUAUCUUGUGAUUUAGAGCUAACAUUUUUCUUUCAUUGGUUCUAACUUUUCUUUUUUCUCUUCCUUGGACCAGAGUGCCAUCUAUAAGUUCUUGUCGACAAUGAAGGUGAAAUAUUGCAUUAGAUAUUUCUUGCAUAUCCCCAAAGUUAUAGUCUGGUUAUUAUAGAACUGAUUUACAAUGCAUACAAUGUGCUCUUUUUGGUGUGACCAGCUGAACGUUUCUUUGCAUGAUAGAAGGCAGUUGUCUGGACUGGAUAGCUCUGAAUUUGGUUUGUAUUGUAGGUUAGAAUUCUUUCUUGUCAGAUUUUAGUUGACCUAGCACAUUUGUCCAUUUUAAGAUUUUUAUCUACCUUCCUUGUAGUUUACUGAACUUUGAAUGGAGUGACGAAGAAGUGAGAAAUGCGACAGGGUCCUCAAAUGUCAUGGUCGCUAGACAUCCGUUGAAGCUUUCUAGCUCUUAUGCUAUGUUGAAGGUAGUAUUUAUUUUCUAGUAGAAACUGAAGCACUCUCUUCGACUAUUCGACAUAUAGUUGAAAUGAAGAGCCGGUUUAUUUUAGGGAAAUUCAAGCAAUAGGGGUCAUCAUGGUGAACCUCUAGCAACGUCAUAUCACAAGAAGUUUCUGGGGACUGUUGAUUAUUUGUGGUACGCUUCUAAACGUGUCUGCAUCUAUUAUACACAUAUACAAUAUGGCUGAGUCUCGUUGUUGAAGGUAUACUCCUGGACUUGAAUGCUCCAGAGUUUUGGACACACUACCUGUGGAUGCUUUGAAGAGGACAAGGGGUCUUCCAACCAGGGUACUUCCUAUUUUAAUGCAUCAUACUAUUUAGACAAAUCUGUAUGUGAAAAAGGACUAUAUGUUUAAACUUUGGGCUUGGGCAAUGUCAUGAUUCGAGUUUUGGCCGUAAAUUUCCUGUUAUACAUAAUGCUCAUAUUUGACCGCUAACAACGAUGUCAUGCUGAAAAAUCAUCAGGAAAUGGGCAGUGAUCAUCUGCCAAUUGUUGCUGAAUUCAUCUUCUCGGAACAGACCAGAUAUUCAUCCGAGCAAGGAGAUGAAUCCGACCAAGAUGAAUCUGAGCCAGACGAUGAGCCUACACGAGAAGCAACCACAGCAAAACACAUAUAUUUCUCCUCAGACAGUGACAGUUCGGCUGAUGCAAGUUAAUUAUUCAGUUGGUAGGAAAAGUUUAGGAUAUAUGACUUGGAGGACAGGGGCGCUGUACGAACUUCAUGGCGGUGACCAUACCAUUCAUGAUUCAGAUGCAGAAAUUAUCUUGGCCAUUGUAAGGCUCACGCCAUAUCCUUGAAUGAAUGUGCAAGGUGUGUUGCCAGAACCUGUAGUGUUGUAAUUCCUGUAGUGGAUUCCAGUCCUGCUGCUUCAGGAUGCUGAUACGGAUCAGAAUCAGGUGUAGGAAGCUGAUGUCUCCAGACUCAAGUGCCAAGAUUGUGGCCGAACGAGUGUUCUCCACGAGCUAUACAAACAAGUAGGUUAAGGACAAGGAAAGAAAAACAAUUAGUAUUGGCAGUUUAGCAUUUACUAGUACUCAAAGUGUAUUUAUUCUCCACUUUUGCGCAGAAUAUUGACACGCUAUCGUAAUGAUUUAACGUGCAGUAUGUACAUGCCGACUGUAGUGUACUCGUUCGGUCUAUGCCUAUAUACUCGCUCGUUUGACACUAACUGGCAAGCGUUCACUGGGACGGGAUUGGCAAGCGAACAUUUCUAAUGACGUUUUUAGGUGAUAGCAGUUGGUAGUUUCUGCCUGUUUUCGCCUCAAAAAUUCUUUCUAUUUGGAAACUGUCAUGUCUCUCUGAAAAAUUGUCAUGCGUCACUGAAUAAACUACUUGUAAAAACGUUGGCAAACGCUACCCCUCAUUGUGAACGUUCGCUGGCUAUUGGGGUCCUUGACACUAUUGGUUGAGGAUCCCGCUUUUAGAUUGGUGUAGGAGCAGGAGACUAACCAAACUUGCAUAUAUCCUGUAAUAAGUUAGGAAUUACAAAGUUCACGUGAAGUACAAAGCAUCUCAAACAUAAAAAUUACAUUGAGAUUAUGAGACCACUGAACAAAGCAUCUCCAACAUAAAAAUUAUAUUGAGAUUAUGAGACCAAUGUAUGACGGCUAGCUAUAUACUCGCUCGUUUGACACUAUUGUUUGAAGAUCCUGCUUUUAGACUGCUCGCAGUAGGAUACUAACCAAACAUUCCAUAUAUUCUGCAAUAAAUGAGGAAUUGCCGUCAUCGAGGAGGUCAGGCAGGCUUUAGUAAGGGGGCGGUGCGUCGGCGGCUUGUCCUGAUGGUGGUAGUGGUCGUUUGAUGAUCCAUUGACCUGUAGAUGCAAAAAAUUUUAUGUGUGUUAUAUAUGUUUUAUUUUGUACUCCCUCUGUAAACUAAUAUAAAAGCAUUUAGAUCACUAUUUUAGUUAUCUAAACACUCUUAUAUUAGUUUACAGAGGUAAUACUUAUGGACUUUUGUAUUAGAUCGAGUCCUUUGUGUAAAAAAAGAAACUAGAAAUUGCAGCAAUAGCAAACACACAGAUGCAGAGGCUGAGUACUAGCACUAGCAAAAUGCAGAUCGACCUUGCAUUCCCCAACCGUCAAAUCCGCAGUCCGCACUCAUCAGGCACCAACCAAAGAAAUGCCUGGUACGGGAGGGCAGGGAGGCCAUCUAUGGAUUUGAAGAUAGGGAGGCGGCCAAUCAGAGCCAAGCGGCCGGCCACGUCACCGCUCCGAGGGACCAAGACGCGGGCGAGCGCGGCCGCACAAGAGCCCCUCCUACACAACAAGCGUCCCAGCUUUUGUUGUUGUUGGGCGAGACACAGAGCGAGAGGCCGAGGAAGCGAUAGCUCUAGCGAUAAGGCACUGACGGAUCAAUGGCUGCCACGGCGUACUCCGUGGCCCUCCUCGGCGGGGCGCGCCUCCCCGCCGCCACCAGCAACGCCGCCCCACGCUCCUCCGCCCUCCUCCCGCGGCGCAACCUCCACCCGCUCCGCCUCCAAGGUGCACAUGCAUCCUAUGCUAUCUACGUACUAUCAGCCGGGUUUUUCCGGAGGAUUCUUUUGGCUCUGACGGCUUGGCCGAGCUUGCAGAUGCGCCGAGGCCGUCCCUGCUCCGCGUGAAGGCGGCCUCCGACGACACGUCGGCGAGCGGCGAUGAGAUCAUCGAGGACCUCAAGGGGAAG
rnacentral:lncRNA from 1 species